rnacentral:lncRNA from 1 species
AUCAAGAAGGACGACCCUAGUGUUCCAAGCAUCGAGUGCACAAUCAACAGAUACUCUUUUUAGAAGACACUCUACGACACCGGAUCUGACGUCAACAUAAUGGCCGCAGUCACUUAUCAGCUCCUGCAUGGAACCAUGCCCCUACAACCAAUAUAUAUUCAGCUCCAGAUGAUUUUCAGAUCAUUGACAUGGGAGAAGACGAGUACGAUCCACCCACCAUCCUAGGAAGACCGUUCCUCAACACUAUCAAAGCAAUCAUCUACAUUGGAAGCGGAGAAGUCCACAUAUACUUCCCCUCUGAGAAGGUACGCAGCUAUUUUACUGACCUUAACUAUAUAGUUGAAGACUCUAAGCAGGUCAGGACAAGAAGAAGACAACGCAACCGCAACCAGAGAAGGCGAAUCAUCAAGGACGGAUGGAUAGAUUACGAAGGAGAAGUGAUAAGGUCUGAAGACAUACAGCUUGAACAGAACUGUCCUGAGGAGACCGUAGCACCGAGUCAGGUGUGGAGAGAGAAGAUAGUUGCACACGAAGAGGAGGCGCCGCCGGAACCACCGACUACGCCACCUAGCGAAUCCCAGGAUGAUAGAAAACGGAGAGUCCCGUUCGGAGGACUUAAAAACACCAAACGCCUUGCCAAGAGAUAAACUUGGUAGUUAUCCUUUUCCUUUCAAUUAUUUAAAAUAGUUUACUUAGUUAAUCAGGUUCAUGCUAUCUUAAAAAGAAUAUAAAAAUGUUAAAAAAACAGUAAGCCCCAUGUGAGUAUACGAGUGGCAUAAAACCCAUAAGUACAUUCACUGUGGUGGCGUAAAAAUAAAAUAAAUAUAUUCUUGUCCUAUAAAUAUAAAAAUAUAAAAAUAAAUUUACGAUCCUACUAAAGAGAGUAACAUUUAUUGAGGAGGCUCAACAUGAUAAAGGCUAGAUAUUUAUGCUAACACUUAACCAGUUCCACAAAGCUUUGUUGUCUAUUUGAGCUCCACAGAAUUCAAUGAUCAAAGAAGACUAGUAGACGAAGGACAUCCUAAUCGCUGUCAGGGUGCUGCCGACUUUCAAAAACACCUCCACCACCUGCUAGCUACAUCAGAAGAAAUUACGUCAAAAUCCAGCUUGGGGGAGAGCACCCCCAUUUAUCCAGCUAAGUGUUUCUACUCGCGUUUAUACUUUGCUCAAAUAAUAAAAAGAUGCAUAAUCAUGAAAAUCCAAAUAAAGAUUUUGUGCUUUUAUAUAUAUAUAUAUAUUUUUUUUUGCUUAGUUUGCUAAAUAAAUAAAUAAAUAAAGUUUGCUAUGAACCCUCAUGAUAAACUCUCACAUGGAAAUGAUGAAUAGUUGCUCUGCCAUGACUAGUUCUUAAAAUUGAAAUCUCUCUCAAGUUUAGGCAUAACUGUUAUAAUUUAAAACUGCUCUAAACCUGAACUUGUGGGAAGAGUACUUGAUCUAAAGUCUAAGUCGUUAACGGAUAUGAUAUGGGAAGGUUGAGCUGCUGUUUAUCUGUACCUAGAGAUGCUAGAAUUCUAGAGAAUUUUAUCUUUGAAAAAUCUUUAAAAUAUCACAUGAUGAGUUCCUGUAUGAUGAGAGUUUAAAAUCCUACCAUAGCCAUAUAUACAUGCUUGCUAGACUUUGAGCCACAUAUUUACUUUUUACUGCUUAUGAGCAUGGUCAAGCUGUGUAGACCCUUAGGAGCUUGUCAUGUGGUUAAAAUCAAGAUUCACUUGCACGUUCACUCAUACAUGCUACUUCUACUCCGGAAGUACCAUCCACAUAUAUCCACUCAUUUCCAUCUCCACAUUCACCCGAAAUUAUUCUACUCCUAAUCCGGGAGAGAAUAGCCAAAAACAUUUUCCAAUCCCUGUUAUUCCCUGUGAAAUAAAUGCUCCAGUUAUUUUGGUUACUACCACUUGCUACAUUAUUUGAGGAGAUGAGUGCUCUAAAAAAAGAAGAAAGAAAAAAAAGAGAGAAGAGAAAAAAAUACGAGGAAAUAAAAAGGGGCAAGUGCCCGGAACCUCGAAGAAAAAGAAAAAAGUGAGACGAGAGGUAAAAAUGGACAAGUGUCCGACAAUAGAAUUAGAGGUACAAGAUACCCACCUGAGAGGAAAAUAAAAGAAAGUAUAGAGCAUCUCAUUCUCCCCAAAAAGCUUCAAAAUGCAAGAAAGGUAUGUAUCCCCUCAAAAGAGCAAAAGUAGAAUUAGACUUUCACCAUUAUUAUCACCAUCAUCACCAUACACCAUUCAUUCGCCACACAUGCACAUCUUGAUUUGACUUAUUGACUUGUUUCUCUGGAUCCAUGGUUUGACUAUGCAAUAAAUGUCUUGUAAGUAUGUAUUAGCUGUCUCCCACCUAUGAGCUCCAGAUAUCAAACCUUAUUAGAGUAGGGUGAGAGAGAAGGUAAUAUCACUAUGCAUUAUACCAAAAAUACCACAUACUUUGAGAGAAGGCAUAUACCAUUACUGCCUUGGUAAGGAUCCAGAAAUACCACCAAAGAGAGAUUUGAGAGAGUCAUAUAAGGAAUCUCUGAGUUUUAUUUGAAAAUCUGCAAAAACUCUAGAGCUAUAGCUGAUCAAAGAACAAGAGACAUGGCGCUUGACUUGACCGUUCUAUCUUUUAACUGCUCAAGACACAAGUGACGGUGACAAGCCCCAUGGUGAAAGGUAAAAUGAGUAAGUUUUAAGUCUUAACAGUUUAUUCUAACUCAGAGAUGAGACCUUGCUUGAAUGCGUGUGUACUUUUAAGGCAUGAAACCACUGCAGAAACUCUUGAGUUCAUCCUUGCUCAGGGACGAGCAAGAGGUAAGCUUGGGGGAGUUUGUUGACGGUCCUUAAGUAUCAAAUUUAAUUAUCAAAUAAACAAAGAAAAGGAUCCAAAUGAAAUCAACAUCUAGACUUAGGGUUUUAUCUGACAGAAUUCCACGAGUUUUGGUGUUUGUCUAUUUCUACAGGGGGUUAUCAGGAAAUAAGGAAGAAAGGCCCACAUGUCAGGAUUACAUCGAGAUAUCAAUGCACCGCGCAAUUUUCUACCAUCUAGAAGACUCCAGAAGCCACGAGACCGAAGCGGAGGCGAAACGGGGCCAGGACCUGGGCGCCCGCCCAGUUUCCUUGGGUGCCCGCCCACCUGCCGAGCCCAAUCAGGACUCUUUCUCUCGGGAGAUCUCCAUCGACCUAUUAGAUCCAGAAUAACAUAGUACCACAUCGCCUACCGACCCAAAAACGCAUAGAAGGGGAGGACUAUAUAAGGAGACCCCCCUGGUCCCUGGAGAAGAGAAGAAAUUAUCAUAGAGAUUGAGGGGUGCCCUCGAAGGAAAACCUCUUCUCUAAAUAAUAUUUCUUUUUAGGCUUAGCAACCAAUGUAAAGUAGAAAUAGAUCUUCUAGUUUCUACUAGAUUGAGAGAGAUAGAAUGGAGGUGUGGAUCGGAGGAAGGCUGGCCUGUCGGUGUCUACUCCGAGUUGUACCUACGGGAUCAAGUCUCCUAACCCGAGGCUUGCUUCUAAGAUUCUUCAGUAAUUCGACUUCUAAUUCUAGUAAGUUCUUGUUUUAUUGUUCUUUGGUUUAUGAGUUUACUUUAAUCCUCUUCCAGUUGAGUAUUAGAGUAAUCACUUGCUAGUGUAAACGUGGUGUUUAGGCUAGGGUACUCAUAGAUAUCCCCUGACUAGCUGGACCGUGGUAGUAGCGAGGAACGUGACAUUUCCGAGUUACCUUUGUAUCCCAUAUCUUGUUAGCAGGACGGGUAGGGUUAUAGGUGCGGGUCGAACAUCCUUUGUGUUGUCUAGAUUCCGUGAGCCUCCCCAAUAGAACAGUAGAUCAUCCUUACCAAGGUUAGAACGAGACUACGGUUGCAGUCUUCUCUAUACAUCGCUCACAUCGAGAAACAUUCUUUGUAGCCUAAAGGGGUAGUAGCAAUAGAUUUGGUUAGUCAGAUGCACCCUUUCUCCCAGUGGUAAAAAUAUAAAUACGAUAACUCUGGAUAACCUCCCGGGUGAAAUGCUCACCGAUAUCCGUGCGCUUGCGGAUCAUUUCCUGAUUGCGUUACCAAAUAUCAACAAGGUUCUAAUUGGCUCGCUUUGCGCGGGGGUUUCAACGUACUCUCGAUAGAGCGAGCGUCAUCCACCCCAAAUUGAGCGAUAGAACGAGCAGUCCAAGUGAGAAACUGUGCCCCUUUCGAGGGGGUCAGCUGCAGCCCGGAUGCGUUCUCAUAAAGCGGUUUCGACGUGGUCGGGGAUACUGGUCUCGUUCGACAGAGUCCAGUGGAUCGAUGCCUCCUGUCGGGGGGAUUCCUCUCGACUGUCUCGACCCUACCUUGGACAUCUCCAGCGAGUCUUCGAGGCAGGCCUCGAUUUUCGACCACUCGCUGGGGAUCCCUGACUCUGGUGCUCGAGAUCGGCUGUCGAACCCUUUCGACGGGUCAGCCUGCGACCUCUCGAGGCUUUCAGGGGCGCGUUCCUUGGCUUACAAGGGAAGGAAGAGGCCGCGGCGGUUCUCCUUUUUGCCUGUUGGGCGCGCCUUUUUAGGCGGGAGCCGCUGCGACGUGGUACUGGCGUAGAAUUCGGAACGCCCCGUCUGUGAGGAGAAAAAGGACCGUUAGUCGGCACAUUUAUGGGGGGAGUUACCUCAUUUAUCGGAUCUAUCCAUUGGUGGGUCGCUGCCUAUAAAUAUCCCGUGGCGUCGGCGCCGCUUUCCCUUCCGCCUCCUGCCUUCAUCCUUGUCUUAGCUAUUUCGCCGUCUUAGGUCUCUUGCCAUCUCACACGCGCGCGCCCCCUCGAGUAGUAGCAAAUCCGCCCUCCUUCCGUCCAAGAUGCCUGUGAGACUUGUUGCCGCCGACGAGUGGCGUCCGUCGUCGAUGACGGAACGCCGAUUGCUGGAGCUUGAGAAGGAAGGGCUCCUGCGCCACCGCUCAUCGCUUUCAUCGCCGGAGUGGAUUGCGCCGCCAGCGGACCACAGGGAGCCCAAGCAGCCCAAGGGCUAUGUGGUUUCGUUUGCCAAGUUCCACCGCCACGGCCUGGGCGCUCCCUCGAGCCGCUUCAUGCGGGCGCUCUGCCACCAUUACGGGGUGGAGCUCCAGCACUUCUCCCCAAACGCCAUCACCGUCGCGGCGGUCUUCGCCGCGGUGUGUGAGGGCUAUUUGGGGAUGAUGCCCCACUGGGAGCUGUUGCUCCACCUCUACAGGGGCGAGCUCUUCAACGCCCCCACUGGGACCACUGGCGUGCGGAAGCCCGUGCGAGCGGGGUGCCUCAACCUCGUGCUGAAGACGGGGAAGACGGCGAGGCCACGCGAGUACAUCCCGGUGGGAUUGUCGACGAACCACGCCGGAUGGGACUCCCAGUGGUUCUACCUGAGGAACGACGACGAUCUCCUUCCCGCCUACACCGGUUGCCUGAUCACGGAGCGCCCGGAGAACUGGACGUACGGCGUUGUCCAAGUUCACCAGUCGCGGCUCGACCCCCUCCUCGACGCCUUGAAGAAGCUUCCUAUGGAAGGCCUGACCGCCGCUCUCGUCCUCUCGGCCGUUCAUCAUUGGAGAGUUCUCCCAUGGAUGUCUCAGCCACUGAGGAUGGACGAGAUGGGCCCCGGCGUCACGUCCCGAGACCUCGAGGCGUGCCGGAUGUCUAACGAGGCUCCAGUGGACGACGAGGUCGCGGCCCGGGUCAGGGCGGCCAUUGCCGGCGAUUUCAAGCCGGAGCACGUUAACGGCUUCCCCAUGAGGCCCGAUGCGGGCUCGAUCGACCGGCUAUGCUCCUUUCUCGUACAUGGCUUCGAUUCUGGAUUUCCUUCGACCCCUUUUAAAGCUUGCCUUUGUUCUGGCAGGGGCGAAUCGAUGCACGGUCCUCGAGGCCUCCAGUAAAGGAGGACGAGGUCGACCGUGACAAACGGCGCCAGUCCGGCGAGAAACAAAAGUCCGCCAAGGACUCUGUGAAGAAAGGAAAGAAGAAGAUGAACCUCGACCGCCAAGCGCUAGAGGCGCGUCGAGCUAGGUCCAGGCAGAUGGGGGAGCCUGAGGAAGAAUCCCCCAGCGAAGACGAUGGCGGAGACGGCGAUGACGACAGCGACGACUCCGAGGGGAUGGUGUCUCGUCUCGACCGGAUCCUCGAGGGUCCGCCUCGAGGCGAUGUCGACGUCCCACGGACGUGGGCGCCAAAGGAGGGGCCAGGCGGAUCUCACCGCCCCCGCGCUGACACUCCUCAUGCGCCUGCGCCAAGUCAGGCCGCCUCGCAUCCUCAACCUCCCCGUGCAUCAAAGGCAGGUAGCUGGGCUAUGCCCCAGGCAACGGGGUCGUUUACCCGUGGCCGCGCCGUGGCCUCUGACAAGGGGGAGGCCUGCCGCAGGAGCGCCAGUCCCAGCGCUCGCCAGGCGGGAGAUGCUGGGCCAAGACCAGUGCCUGCCCUCGAGGGGUCGGGGGCCUUGACGCAGGGUGGUUCGAGGCCCACGAGUCGAGGCACCGGUAGGCGAGCCGUUCUCCCUGUGGGGUAAGUUCUUCGAUGCUGUUAUUCUUAUUCCCCUGAUUCUUUGAGUUUUCUCGUACAACGUUCUUCUUUACGCCUGUUCCUCUCUCCUCAGGUAGAAGCGGACGCUUGAGUAGGCCCAGUCUUCAAUGGCGAAAUGGCUCAAGGUGGGGGCGGCCUCCUAGGGCUCAGGUUAGCAGCUUAUUCACGGGAUUUGUGUUGUUCUUACGACAGCCUUCAUAGCGACUAUCCUUUGUUCUGCGCUUUAUAGGAUCCUCUGACCCUUAACCACCAACCGGCGCUGAGAGCGCCUCACCCCGUACCCUGGCGGGUGAGCCUGCCCCGUUGUCGCCAAAACGAGCUGAGGCACCUCAGCUCCAAGGUCAGGAGGGAGCCCCCGAGCAUCCCCGAUUGGGGGUCGAGGGGGAUCCCAUUACCAUAAGUGACGGGUCUGGCGGUGAUGGGACCUCGAGGGAUGCCCGUCCUGUGGACGAAGAGGCCCAGACCUCUCUCGUUGCGAGGCGGACGCCCUGGCCUGCCGGGCUUCGCUCCAUCGAGGAGCAGAAGAAGAAAGAAGAGGAGGAGCGGGAGCAAGAGAUGCGUCGGCAGCUGCAGAAGCAGGACCGUCAACAAGAGCCGCAGGAGCUCGAGGAGCAACAACAGCAGAGGGGCCAGCCACCGGGGGAGCCGCUCGAGCCUCCUCCUCGCAGUCCGCCCCAACCGGUACUACCGGCGCCGCAAGAGCCCGGGGACCAGGAAGAGGGUCUGCCGGUUUUUGGCCCUCCGACCCCGGCGUGGCUCCGUCCCGGGGCGCCCGCCGCGAUCCCAGCAGAGUCGGGGCGGGCAGACUGUGUGGUGGCGCUUGCUUGCAUGAUGCGCACCCCCGUCGACCCUGAGUCCGAGAUCAGGAGGACGAUCUAUGGCAUGGACGGAAUCGCUCCAGGGUUCCUCCGGGAACGUCGGUCGUGGGAGGACCGUAUCCCCGCCGAGGAGGACGAGGCUAGGACAAGGGGCGGAGGCGGAGGCAGCGAAACGAGCACCUGGAAGAUGGUGGACGAUGACGGGCGGUUCCCCUCCCUCGUCGACUUGUUCCUGCGUCAUGGGGGUCCCUCGAGACCGUCGAGGAACUCAUUCGCGGCGUCAAGGCGCGGGCCGACCAGGAGAUGGAGAACUGGUGCCCCGAUCGGAUUCGCAUCCGGGCCUCCACCGAUCCGUCUGAGCCCAACAUCUUCUUGGAUGAUCGGAAGGAGGCUAAGAAGUGGGAGCAUGUCGAGGAGCUCCGCCUCUGGAUGAAGCACACGGUGGGGCUCUUGUCGGACGUCGUCAAUAACGGACUCGGGCCAGCCUACUUUGUAAGUGUUUUUCAGUCCUUAAUCCUUAUAGAGCUUUUGGUUUUGUGUUCUAACUGCUCGACCAUCGGCUCGCAGGACCUGAAAGAGACCUCCCGUAUCAAGUCGAGCUUCAUCCACGCCACGAGAGGCGGCUGGGAGCAGAUCCCCCUCCUCAAGGACCAACUCCUGGAGUCGCAGGAGAAACUCCUCAAGGCAUAUAAAGAGCUCUUGGCGCUCGAGGAGGAGAAGAAGGUGAGGGAGGCUGCCCUGGUCAAGGCUCGAGAGGCCUCGAGGAAGGCUGUGGAGGAGGCCGUGCUGCUGAGGGAGCGGACUCUGGCGGUCGAGGAGGCUGCGUCCAAAGCCCGGGAGGAGGCCCUGUCUUACAAGAACGUCGUUGCUGACCUGGACAAGGAGAAGGGCCUCCUCAAGACAGACCUGGACUCCCUCCGAGACUCCUUCUAGAGGAUGAAGGUGGAGUAUGUGAACAGCGAGGUUGCCUAGAGCACCACGGAGGAGGCAAAGAAAAAGGCCCUUGAAGACCUCGAGGCGGAGCGGGCUCGAUCCCGCAGCCUCUCUGACGACGUCAAUCGUCUGAAGGGAGAGCUGUUGGAGAAGAAUGGAGCUAUUGCUUAGGCUGGCAAGGCGAUCGAGGAUCUUCGUGUUGCCAACACUGAGCUGGCUCGCUCCAACAAAGAGAUCGAGAGGGCCAACACCAAAUUAGUUGGCGAGAACACAGCUCUGGAGGAGAGUGUCCGCGGUACGUUUCUUUUGUCAAAUUUUCUUUUUGAGGUGUGCUUGGUUUUAUCUAAAGUUUUUUUGCGUUGGCAUUCACAGGGCUUAAAGACGAGCUCUUGGCCGCCCAAGUCGAGGCUCGCAACGCCAAGGCCCAGCUCGAGGGGGAGGUUGCUUUGAACCGUCGACUGUGGACGGCGAUAAGCGAUCUCUCAACCUCUUGGGAGGUUGAGCCCAUGGACGAGUCGAAGGAGGAAGCUCGAGGCGACGCGCUGGUCGAUCAGCUGUGCUACUUAGGCGCAACGCUGAGGGAUCGGGUGCGUGACGCUCUCCAUAUCGGGGUAAAGCGGGCAAUGGCAGUUGUCUGCUUGGGCUUUUCCUAUGAAAUGGAGGUGGUGUCUCAUGGCUUUGUUAUCGACAUCUCCAAGACUGACGCGGAGAACGAAGAGAGGCUCCACGCCUUGUUCGACGAUGCAGAGGUCCCUGGGGAGAGGCUGGCCAAGCUAUUUGAGCCCGAGGUACUUCCCCCUGAGACUAGCUUAGGCGUAGGCGAGGGUGGUGAGGACCGCGAUGCGGACUGAGGCCUGCGAGCUUGCUCUGGGUGCCUGGGGCCCCUUGUAUAGCACUCUGUUAACCUUGUCCUUAUGUAAUACAAUGUCUUUAAGUGGUUUGUCAAAUGUUUAUCUGUCUUUCCGCUCGAAGCUCUUUUGUUUCUUUUUGCGCCUACGUUCGUAUUCCUUGUUUAGUCUUUUGUUUAAAACAGCCUCGAUCGCCUCAAGGGUGAGGAAGCGAGUAGAGUUUCCAUAGCCCGGGGGCGUAGGAGUUCUCAGGCUCGUUGUCUCUCGGCCCUUAAGGGGCUCGAGGUGCCUCAACUAUUCGACCGUGCAAGAUUUACUAAGUAGGGACGAAAAAAUUGCUAAGUUUUGCUUGGGGGGAUCCCCCUGCUAGGCCCCGACGGAGUGCCGACUAUGAUGGGUCAUGGUUGGUAUUCCCUUGUAACGUCGAGGUUUUGACUCAUAAAAAGGUAAAUUACUCGAGGGAAAGACUUUGUUUGUUCAUGCAUUCAUUUACAAAGCCUCGGUAUAGAAAGUACAUGGGAACAUAAAGCUUUGACAUUCUAGGGGUAGAAUCGACGUAGCUGUUCAAUGUUCCAUGCGUUGGUGAAGAUUGCCCCCUUUUCGUCCGUGAGUUUGUAUGUUCCCGGCUUCAGGACCUCGGCCACCAUAUAUGGCCCUCCCAAGGUGGAGUCAGCUUGUGGCAUCCUUGAUUGCUUUGCCGCCGUCGUAGGAUGUGGUCGCCCACGUUCAGGUCCCUCUUGCGCAUGUGCUUGUCAUGGUAGCAUCGAAGUUUCUGCUGGUAUCUGGCCGAGUUGAAGAGGGCCAUGUCUCGAGCUUCCUCGAGUUGGUCGACCGCGUUCUCUUGAGUCUCUUUAUUUGUUUGCUCGUUGUAUGCCUUGAGUCGAGGGCAUCCAUACUCAAGAUCUGUUGGAAGCACCACCUCGGAGCCAUAGACCAUGAAGAAUGGGGUGUAUUUUGUGGCCCUGCUCGGCGUCGUUCUUAGGCUCCAUAAGACCGAGGAAAGCUCCUCGACCCAUUUCUUGCCGAAUUUCUUCAAGCGAUUGUAGAUCCUUGGUUUGAGUCUCUGCAAAAUCAUGCCGUUGGCACGCUCGACCUGGCCGCUAGUUCGAGGGUGGGCUACCGCCGACCAGUUCACACGGAUGUUAUGCUGAUCACAGAAGUCCAAGAACUUCCUGCCGGUGAAUUGAGUGCCGUUGUCAGUGAUGAUGACAUUGGGGAUCCCAAAUCGAUGGAUGAUGUUGGUGAAGAAGAGGACGACCUGCUCGGAGCGGAUGUUGGUGAUGGGUCGAGCCUCGAUCCAUUUGGAGAACUUGUCGAUGGCCACCAGCAAGUGGGUGUACCCCCUUUUCGCUUUUUGUAGAGGCCCUACUAAGUCGAGCCCCCAUACCGCGAAUGACCACGUGAUCGGGAUCAUCUAGAGGGCGUGGGCAGGCAGGUGCGUCUGCUUGGCAUAGAAUUGGCACCCGUGGCAUGAGCGAACGAGCUCGAUGGCAUCUGCUACGGCUGUUGGCUAGUAGAAACCUUGUCAGAAAGCGUUCCCUACGAGGGUCCAUGGAGCAGCAUGGUGGCCGCAAGCCCCCGAGUGUAGAUCCUCGAGGAGUUUUCGGCCUUCUUCUACGGUGAUGCAACACUGCAAGAUCCCCGUCGGGCUUCGUCGAUAUAGCUCAUUGUCCUCGCCGUAGAUUACGUAUGAUUUGGCCCGUCGAGCGAUAUGGCGGGCCUCGGAUCGAUCUUCUGGAAGCUCGCGGUGGAUUAGGCAGUCGAGGAAUGGCGUGCGCCAGUCGAACGGUCGACCGGGACGCUGUUCCGCCUCCAUUACCUCAGCUGCCAUUAGUGGCGUGUCGUCGGUGUCGGGUCACUGGGCGGGAGCGGCUUCGACGCCAGCCCCCGAGCCUAGGUCGACGGAUGGCUCGUGAAGAUCUCUCGAGAACGCGUCAGGUGGCACCAUGCUUCGAGUCGACGCGAUCUUGGCGAGUUCGUCAGCCGCCUCGUUGUAGCGUCGGGCAACGUGAACAAGCUCGAGGCCGUGGAACUUGUCCUCGAUUCGAUGGACUUCCUUGCAGUACGCCUCUAUUUUCGGGUCGUGGCAGCUCGAGGCCUUCAUCACUUGAUCGAUGACGAGCUGGGAAUCGCCCCGAACGUCGAGACGUCGGACUCCUAGCUCGACGGCAAUCUUCAGACCGUUGACAAGGGCCUCAUAUUCCGCGACGUUGUUGGACGCUACAAAGUGAAUCCUGAUGACAUACCUCAUAUGAACACCCAGGGGCGAGAUGAACAGCAGGCCGGCCCCAUCUCCCGUCUUCAUGAGUGACCCGUCGAAAUACAUCGUCCACAGCUCCGACUGAACUUGAGCCGAGGGGAGCUGGGAGUCAGUCCAUUCUGCGACGAAAUCCACCAGGGCUUGCGAUUUGAUAGCUUUUCGGGGCGCAUAAGUGAGAGUCUCACUCAUGAGCUCGACCGACCACUUGGCGAUCCUUCCCGUGGCUUCUCGACUUUGGAUGAUCUCUCCCAAAGGGAAGGAUGAGACCACUGUGAUAGGAUGGCCGAGGAAGUAGUGCUGCAGCUUGCGUCGGGCGAGGAUUACGGCGUAGAUUAGCUUCUAGAUUUGCGGAUAGCGCGGCUCUGUCUUCUUGCGGAGAGGGGUCGAUCUGACCAUCAUUCCUAGGCGUCCUGGGGUCUUCCCUUGCUGCAGGGGCUCGCCCGUCCACAACGGCGUCUUGUAACUCAUCGGUGGUUUCCACCGCUCCGUCGAUAUGGAAGCACUCCCUAGUAGGGUCGUGGCUGUCGGAUUCCGAGCCGGAGUCCGGCUCGGCGGCAUAAAAGCAUCCGCGUCCUUCCUCCAGCAGCCGCUAUCUAAGAGAGGUAAUCGUGUAGUGCCUAGGGCCUAGGCGGCGGAGGCCUCGUACCUGGGUGAAAUCUGGUAGCUCGGACGUCGGUUGCUGUGCUCCGGGGUCGCGUGGGAGGACCAUUGGUCUCUCCACGUACGUCUGGGCGUUUGGGCAUAUCGCCCUGGCGAGCGACGCUGCGGCAUUGUCCAGGCCGAACGGCAAGGCUCCUCUUGAGGCGAACAACCCGUGUGGAAGUAGCCUGGCGGUGGGGGAGAGUGUGCAGGGCGCGUCACCUCCUGUCGUCAUGUGAUCCUCGCGGCACUGAGCUGUCGUGCCCGUGGUGCACGGAGCUAUCGGCCCUCGUGCCGUCUCCUACCUGGCACGGACUACUGGUCGUGGUGAGGUAGAAGGGCGAUGGUGGUGCUGUCCACGCCUCUUCUUAGGCGGGGAGGCGUGGUGGUGAGGACGUCUCGGGGCCCUCAUCCAGGUUGGCGCAACGCGGGCUCCUCCCGGCCCUUUGAUCGAGAGCAAGAUCAUGUCAUAGCUGAAGCCAGUGGACAUGAACUCGAGACUCCCAAACCAAAUCACCGUGGAGCACGGAAUCGGUGAAGAAAUAGUGGCCAUCUAGGAAAGAAUGUGAAAUUGAUGAAAAACACGCAGGACCCCUACCUGGCGUGCCAACUGUCGGUGUUUUCCCCACGGGGUGUCACACCAACGAGUGAAUUUGUAUGCGUGCUCCCUUUCCCAGAUGGUGAUGCAAAAAGACACACAAAGAUUUAUACUGGUUUGGGCAAGAGAAGGCCCUACGUCCAGCGGGGGGAGCGAGUUUGUAUUAUUCUGCACCUAAGUGCUUGUACAGGGGUGAAUACAAGCGUGGUAUGAAAUGAGGGGGAGUGUAGAAGCUCUACUGCGUAUGGGUGUCGUGCCCCGUCCCCCUGUGUUCGCUCCUGGGCUUCCCCUUUUAUAGUUCCAAGGAGAGGCCCAGGGUACAAGUGUAGGUGUCAGAGUAGGGGUCGAUAGAGGCAUGGCGCGCGGACCUACUCGAGGCCUCCGUACCGGCGUGGUCUCGAGCCAUCCCAUCCUAGUAGCUUGAUGAUGAUUACGCGUGCCCUGGAAUCCUGCUGUGCGCGCCGUCUUGGACUGGUUCAUUGGUGGCACGCCUGUACGAUAUAGCGGCGGAUCCGUCAGAGUGGUUGCUUUGUUGCCAUUCGACGUCCAACCCUUCUCCUGGAGGAAAACGGGCCUGGUCGAGGGUCGGCCGCCAUGUAGCGUUUCGCUGUCCAGAGCGUUGACCCUGGAUGUCUCGAGGAGGUCCUGAUUAGACGUUCCAUCCCUGCUUCCCGCGUCGUGACACGCUCUGGGUCGUUUGGUGGCGAAGGCUGCAAAAAGAAUGACAGGACGGGUGCCUGUUCCCUAUCACGCUUCCCGUGACUGGCGUGUUAGGUGAGAACGCGACAGGCGCAUUAAAUGUCCUGGUUCCCAUGCGCGCGUCAGGCGGCGGGCGGCGUCCUUGCGCAUGACGCCUCCUGGUUGGCUCGAGCCUAUUUCCGUAUUCGACGGUAGCGGCGCUCGAGCCCUGAUCGGUUCGCUCGACGCCUUUUCCGUCUUCGAGGCUGCGGUUUUCGAUGACUAUACGUACGACUGACUAGAGCGUCGAGUUGAGGGCCUCGACCUGCGUACGGAUAAUCUCAUUAUGUGCAUCAGUUAGGAUACCCCUUACUGAUAUCCUCGACACUCACUUAUUUAUUCCUAGUGCGUUAUGACAAUAAAAAAGAUGAAUAAUCUUAUAAAUCCAAUGAAUGUUUUAUCUUUCAUAAUUAAUCAUGCUAGGAGAGCUCUUGAUGAAUCUAUUAAAAUGAACCUCUAGAAUAAACUCUUACAUGGAGAUGAUGAAUAGUUGCUCUACCGUAAUUCCUUGCAAGUAUGUAGUUUUCAAUCGUGUAAUCUCCUGAAUUUUAGACACAACAGUUUAGACUUAAGAUUUUGCUCUGAACCUGAAACCUAUGGGUAGAAAAUGCUUGAUCUAAGUCUAGGUAGUUAACGGAUAUGAUGUAGGAAGGUUUUGAGCUGCUAUCAAUCUUGCUCCUAGAGAUGCUAGAGUUCUAGAGAAUUUUACUUUGAAAAACUUAAAUUGCUACAUGAUGAGUUCCUUCAUUGCAAGAGUUUAAAAUUCCUAGCACAGCCAAAUACUCAUGCUUGCUAGAUUAGGAAAACUCUUCCACUUAUAUUUCAACCUAUAAGCAUUGAGGGUAGUUAAGUUGUGUAGACCCUAAGGAACUAGUCAUGUAGUUAAAGUUAAAUUAUAUGCUCUCCAUCCAUUGAUCUUAGCUACUUCUAUCCUUAGAAGUACGCAACCACUUACAUCCACCACAUUCACCAUGUGCUAAUCCAUUCCUGGAAGUACCACCCACAUACACGCAUUACACUCUGGGCUGUUUCUAUCCUAGAAACACACAUUUAUGCUACUCCUACCCUUUGAGUACGCAUUCCUUCAUCCAACCAUAUAUAUUCCACAUCCACUUAGAAAUUGUUCUACUCCUACACUAGGAGGGAAUACCCAAAAAAGCUCCAUUUAUUUCAGUUGAUACUCAUUAUCAGUGCAUUAAAAGGGUUGGUGAUCUUUAAAAAAAUAUGUUAAAAGAAAGAAAGUGGACAAAAGCCCCAAUGCAAAAGAAAAAGAAAAACAACCAAGUCGUUGUUCUCAAAUUAGGGAGGUAUGUUAUCCCCAAAGAGCAAAUUUAGAAUUAGAUAUUCGCAAUCAGUUAUCACCGCUCAUAACCCCUUUCAUUUCUAUCACUUCACUUCACUUCACUCACAUGCACAUAUGACUUGAUUGUAUAAUUUGUUUCUAUGGAUCCAUGGUUUAACUAUGCAAUACAUGCAAUUAGGUUUGAAUUGUCUUUCCCACCUAUGAGCUCCGCAUAAGCCAAACAGAAGUAGGGUGAGAGAGAAGGCAACUAUGUCUUAGUGAAAUACCACAUAUUCUGAGAGCAGAGAGAAGGAAUACUCACUUGUCUUGGAGAGGAUCCAAAAAUACCACAUAUGAAAGAAUGGAAAGUGUCAUACAAGGAAACUCAAAGUUCUAUUUGAAAAUUUUGCAAAACUCCAGAAUAAUAGUUGAUCAAAGAGUGGGUAGCAUAGUGCUCCACUUAACUGUUCUGUAUUUCAACUGCCCAAGACCUAAGUGAUAGCUAUAAGCCCUAUGGUGAAAGGUAAAAUGGGUGAGUCUUGAGUCAAAAUAGUGCACUCUAGUCCGGAGGGGAGUCCUUGUUUGAAUACUUGUGUACUUGUGAGGCGUGACAGCAUUGUUGCAAGUCCUGAUCCAUCACUGAGCCUAUCUUUGCUUGGGGACGAGCAAAAGGUAAGCUUGGGGGAUUUUGUUGAUGGUAGCUAACUCCUAUUUUUAACUUUAAACAUAACUUUUAUAACUACAAAGAGAUGCUCACCAACAUACGUUUAGAGGUUUUAACUAAAAAUUUCACGAGUUUUAGUGCAUCUAUGUUUUGUAGGGGCUACAUAGGAAAAGAGCUAAAGGCAAACUAAUCAUUUAAUAAAGUAUCUCAAAUGAUGAAGUGGACUGCACCAUUGGGAUGGGCUCGUCGAGACGAUCGAAAUCCAUAUAUCAUUUGCCCUAUAUGGAGUAUCGGAUGAACGAAUAUGAAUUUCACAAGAAAAUACACAUUUCUAGAGUCUAGAAGGUUCGAAAAGACACCAGAACGAACGGGAAGGCAAAUGGCCACUCGGGCUAGGCACCCGCCCGACCCCCUUGGACGGUCGCCCGGCUGCUGCAGCUAAUCACUCUCUAGCUCGCGGAUUCCCGAUCCACCACCUUUGAGGAUUAACCUUAAGCACACGUUUAAGUCGGUUUGAUCCAAAGGCUAUGGUUCUUCCUGGAGGUGGAAAGAUUAGUGCCACAUCACUAGUUCAAGGUAGAGGAGGGGUCAGAUGCCCCCUAUAAAUCCAAACCUGACCCCCCUGGAGAAGGAUCAUAUGAGUUGUAGAGGUGUCCCUUAAAUGGAUGACCUCACUUCUCUAGAGAAUUAGGGCUAGACAUUCCAAUGUAGUAGACUAGUUCUAGUCGAGAGUUAGGGAGAGUGGAGUUACGCUCUUGUUCUAGAGGAGUUUCCCUUAGAGUUUUGGUAUGUCUUCAUAUCUCUUCUUUAUAAGACUUAUGCUUUAAUAUAUUAUCUUCUAUAUUGACUUUAUGCUUAUUUAUGAUUAGUGUAGUUGUUAUAUCUUGGCAUGGGAUCUUUGCUCAUAUUGAGUGUUGUAGUUAUUCAUGGUAAUUAGAGUAUUAAAUGCUAGUGUAGACUUGGUGUCUAUGCUAUAGUUAACCUGAGGUUGCUCUAGUUAUUCAUGCAAUAGUUUACCUAAGGUUGCACUGAAUCGCAUGGAUAGUGGUGGUAGCCCCAGUGGUGAUAGCCCUAUCAAGCCUUUGUAUUCCACCAUGUUCGGAUUGAUGUUUUGUAGAGCUUUUGGUAGCCUUCCCCCGACUAUUUCUUCCCAGUCUCUUUCGAGAGUUAGAAAGGUACUAUUGCUCCAAAGUGCCAUUGUAUGAUUGCUAUAUCAUUUUAUAUAUUGUUACCUUAGAACCUAAGUAAUAGAGAAGUACAAAGGAACCUUGAUCUUUCCCAUUGUCCUCCUGCUUUGACUAUCUAUACAUAUCACUGAAUUCUCUUAUAUGCACUUAAUUGAAUUAUCUUAUAGUAUAUCAUUUACCCCUGCUUUAGUUUAGUUGAUACUUUAAGUUAGUAGAUGUAGGAUAUUGAAUUAUCCGAUUCUUAACCCUAGCUUCCCUGGGGUAAAAUAUAAAUAACGAUACCUAGAAUACUCCCAGUAAAAUGCUACGAUGAUAUUUUGUGCGCUUGCAGAAUCUUUUAUAUUCUUUUUGCACUAACAAAUGUCGUCAAGCAUUUCUAGCGCUGUUGCCGGCGAUAGAUUUAAAAUUUUAUUCUUAGUAAUGACAUUAAGAAAUGUCAACAACAGUUGUGGAUGAUUCACCGUGACGGAGUGUCAAAGAAUCAGCGCAUAGACAACACUUGGUCCGUGCGGGGACCAAGGAGGACCAAGGCCCUUGUGCGGGUGCUCCAACAAGGACUAGUGGAGAGUGGUGACUCUCUGAUACCUCGGCAAGACAUCACCGCAUUCCUCUUUCUCUCAUCGUUUACAUUCUAGCAUUUACUUUGAGCGUUUUACAUUCUUAAAAUUGCCAUGCUAAAGUAGGAUUGGAACUAAGUUGCAAAAUAUUUAUCUGGUAGCUCUCUAGAACACACUUAGGCACAAGGGUUGAAUUGAGGCUUAUAGGUUGCUUAAUUUUUUAGAGAAGCCCAAUUCACUCUCUCUUGAGCAUCUUGAUUCUUUUAGUCUAGACAGGUGAAUGUCAAGUACUGAAGAGCUCUAGCAAGUCUACAAAAGUCUAUAGCAUCAGACACACAGGCCCCCUUAGCUGCAGCAACCUUAGAGUUGGUGUCAACUGGUAUAAAGCAUGGCUUGCACUUAGCCAUCCCAGCACGAUCUAAGAUGUCCAGCAUGUACUGUUGUUGUGAGAGCAUUAGUCCAUCACCAUGCCGCUAAACAUGCAUACCGAGAAAGUGAUGUAGUUCGCCAAGAUCUUUCAUGGCGAACUCCCGAUGAAGGGCUGAGAUGAUCCGCCGAAGAAAGGCUGACAACGAGGCUGUGAGGACAAUAUCUUCAACAUAGAGAAAUAGGUAUGCUAUGUCUAAUCCAUGCUGAUAGAUUAAGAGUGAGGUGUUUAACUUGGCUUCGACAAACCCAAUGGACUACAAGUAAUAGACCAUCUAACUGUACCAAGUAUGAGGAGCAUGUUUUAGGCCAUAGAGCGACUUCUUCAAGAGACAGACAAAAUCCAGAUGAGCUGGAUCUUCGAACCCAGAUGGCUGCUGAGAUUACACUGUCUGAGUCAAAGCCCCAUGAAGAAAGGCAUUCUUCACAUCCAGCUGGUGAAUGGGCCAGUGGAGAGUGAGCACUAAGGAGACAACAUGCAGACAGUACUAGGUUUCACCAUAGGAUUGAAGGUCUCAUCAAAAUCCACACUAGGUCGCUGGGUAAGGCCACGAAGAACCCAACGUGCUUUGUACUACUCGAGGGAGCCAUCAGACUAAAGUUUGUGCUUGAAGAUCCACUUCCUAGGGACAACAUUGGCCCGAGGAGGACGAGGCAGGAGAUCCUAGGUGUGGUUCUGCAGGAGAGCACUGUGUUCUUCCUCCAUAGCGGCUCACCAAUUGGGGUCAGCAAGAGCGCUAUGGAUGGUCUUUGGCACUGGAGAGAGAGGCACGGCGUGGUAGAUGGCGGGCAUCUUGUAGCCGCUCUGGGAACGGGUGCCCAUAGGGUGCUAGUGUGCCACUGGAGGAACAACAACUGCACCCUUGGGCAGCGGUACUGCUGGUGCAGCAGGGGUGGCUGAUAUAACAGGGGUGGCUGGUGACUCACGCAGGCUAUGCAUGUAGACGUGUGUGAAAUCGUGAGCCUAUCGAAGAGGAGGGAACCCUGGUGGUGGCCCACGGGGCACAUGCACAAGUGUCGGGGAGCCGAUAGGCUGUGUAGAGGGUGAUGGUGCGUCAAGCAACUUUAGGGCCGCGUAUGGCAUGGAAGGGGGACUCCUGGGGGCCACGCGUGGUGUAGUGGGUUUCCCUGACACCCAUAGCACAGGGGGACGUAGAGCGCGUGUGUGGGAUGAUCCUUAGUAUCCUCAGAAGACUCUAGGGGCACCCCAGGCACAACCUCACAAGGACCGGCAGGGGCACAGGUGGUGCCAAGGGUACUGGGAGGUGUUCGUGCAGGCAAACACUUGUGCGACGGUCCAAUAGGAAUGGGCACAACAUCAGUAGUGUCAUUGGCAAGAAACUCUAGUUCUGCUAGAGUCCUAGGACCAUGACACUGAGCGAAAGGGAAGGUCAUUUCAUCGAAGAUGACCUGCCAGGAAAUGAUGACUCUAUUAGAUGAUAAGUCAAGAUAGUGGUACCCUUUAUGAUGAGCUGAAUAGCAUAGGAAGACACACAGGACAGACCUAGGUGCAAGCUUAUGAGGGGCAGUGGUUGACAUGUUGGGAUAAAAUUUGUAACCGAAAACUCAUAGAUGAUUAUAUGUGAGUGAUUUUCCAAAUAAGGUAGUAUGAGGAGUGGAGAAAUCUAGAGUCUUGGUGGGCAAUAUAUUGAGGAGGACAGUCGCCAUGGAGAGAGCCUCCACCCAACAGGAGGGAGACAUGGAUGCUUGAAAGAGCUGGGAGCGAACGACAUUAUUGAUAGAGCGAAUAACACGUUCAACUUUACCUUUUUGAGGCAUGGUGUAAGGGCAGGACAUGUGAAGGUGGAUGCCCUGGGUGACGAAGAAGUGGCGAGUGCUACAGUUGUCAAACUCUCUCCCGUUGUCGCAUUGUACUACUUUGAUGCAGGUGCCAAACUGAGUGGAGGUGUGGGUGAUGAAUUGAGCGAGCGUGCUGAAAAUGUCAGAUCUAAGGUGUAAUGAAAUGUCCACAAGUAAUGAGUGCAAUCAUCAAGAAUGACCAAAUAAUAUUUAUAACUAGAAAUGCUAAUAACUGAAGAGGUAUAUAAAUCACAAUGAAUAAGAUCAACCUUCCUAGACGCAUGAGAGGUGGACGCAUGAAAGGGCAAACGAACAUGUCACCUGAGUUGACACGCAUGACAUAAAUCUAAAAAAUCUUGAAUAUGGAGUGAAACACUAGACGCUAGCUUUAACAUGGCCUCAUGGCUAGGACACCCAAGAUGUCGAUGCCACAGUGGAGAGGAUCCCUAAGCGGCAAAGAAGAGUGCUGGUGAAAGGCGAAGUGGGUACAAUGGCCUAGAGCUAUUGCACCAGACGAUCUCUUUCCGAGAUGGAAGAACCUUCACAGAACAACUAGUGAGGUCAAACUCAAUAGAUCAAUUAUUGUCAAGAGUAAACUAGAGAACAGAGAUAAGAUUCUUAAUAAUUUGUGGCGAUACAAAGACAUUAUUAAGACACAAUUUGAAUGAUAACUCUGUGGAGCUAGUGUGGCAGAACCUCUUAAGUGUUUGGGCCCACCGACACCUGUCAUUGUCCAAAGGACCUCUGACGGUGAUGCCGGGGAUCCUCCCACUCUAGAAGUCCGAUGAGCAUCUCAUGACGCUCAUUCCACCGCUACGUGUGGAGUAUCAAGCGAACUCGUCCUGACCACUAGCGAUGGUCAAUUAACGAGAACUUCUUCUUCUCUCCCUUACAGGAUAGCAAGUGGCCACCUUAACACCAGGAUCACUCGUUGCGAAGACAUUGCAGUAUCACAAACAACACAAGACCAAAAUAAUAUUUCAGAGUAAAACAGCGGAAGUAUUACAUAACUUAAUUUACAAAAGUAUUUCUUCUAAAUAGUAGAGUGUUAUUACAAGCCAGGUCCAGCGGAGCAACUUAAACUUUAGUACACAAAUUACAAACUUACAGACCCUGCCCAGGGGUCACGCUCACUCUUCUUCGUCGUCAACCUCGACGACGGACACACAACAGGGUCCGAAACAUGUCUGCUCCUGAACUUCACCUGCAACAGGUGUUAUAAAACCCUGAGUACGGGAGUACUCAACAAGACUUACCCGGCGGAAAAAAGAGGAGAAAUUAGGAAUGCAGGCUUGGGGUAGAUAAGGAGUGGCUGAGCAAGGAGCCAAAGUGUAUUCCACAACAACCCUUCAAACUUUCUUGUUUGAAAACCUAUCUAGUAGCAGGGCUAAGCAUCACUACGCGGUUUUAAAAUAAAACAGGUGCCAAGGACAAGAUAACAAAUAUCAAGGUAGUAAAUGCAGUAAGUAGGUUAACCCAAUUCUCAACUACCUAAUGCAGCAUUUUCAAUUCAUAAGUGGUAAAAGAUUUAAAAUAUUCAAGGAGGGGUUAAUGCAUCCGGGGCUUGCCUUGGUUGCAGAGCUGAGAGGGUUCCUCGGAGACUUCCCAAGUCUCGGAUCCUACUUCUUCGAAGGGAGCACCGACCUCGGGGUUCGGUUCAACGGUCGCUCCUUCAGUCACAUUCACUAUACGCAAAAUGAUGAAUGCUCAUGAUAUGCAUAUGACAAAUAUUUGAGAAGGACCGAGUUAAGUACAACGGGCCUUCUCGGUGCAACAUAGACUAAUCAAUAAUUAAAGUUGUUUAUCAUCUUAGUGUCUUUACCCAAGAGGUUGCAUCUGUAAACUAAGAUUCCUCUUAAUCCAUAAUUAUUCUUAAUUAACUAAUUAUUAAUUCUUUUUAUCUUAAUUAACUUUCAAUUAAGUAUUAAUGACAGUAAUUAAACAUUAAUGCCAAACAAUAAUUAAAUGCCAAAGGUCAUUAAGGUUAAUGACCUCAGGUCAUCACACAAUCCCAAAAUCACUCAAACCCUAAUUUGAGAAUUUAACUAAUUAUUACCUAAUUAUUCUAGAAUUAUUAUUUAAUUACUAAUUAAGGGUUUAAUAAUAUUUUAUUCAAACAUUAUCCAAAUGCCACCAAAUUUUGUGUGAAGCCAGGGAAUAAUAUUCAGAGGCAUCUCACAAAUUUUAGUGAUUUUUGGGCAUGCAAUUAAAUUAUUAAAAUUCAUAGAAAUUUUAUUUGCUAGUUAAAAGAGGCAAUUUUUAUACACAUGCAAACUACGAGAAAAUAGAAACUAUUAUUUUUCCUGUGUUCUACUUACUCUAUGGAACCUAUACAAAAAUUUUCAUAAUUUUUGGAUCAGCACAUGAUUUAUUAUACAAAAUCAAACAUACAUCACAAUUUUGCAUAAAAGAAAAAGGGAUACGAUCACUGUUCCCACGGCCGGCCCGCUUGGCUUUGGCCCAAGCCGGGCCGAGCGCAUUCCCGCGCCCAGCGCCAUCUCCCUCUCUCUCACGCGGUCGCUGACGGGCGGGUCCCGCCCGUCAGCUCCGUCUUCUUCCUUGCGCCGCGGCUCCGGCGAGCUCAAGCACGCCGUCGGCGACCUCUCGGCCUCCGCGGUAAGACGUGUUAGCUUCCCCAACCUCACGCGCACCCAAAGACACCCUUUGCACCCCCUCUCUCCUUUCCAAGCCCCCAUGGCCACGGGUGCGGCGGACGGCCGCCUCGGCCGAGCAAACGCCGACCGCUACAAGCGAGUAAAACGCGAGAUGAAAGGCGUAAAAGUAUCAGUGGCUCACCGCGACUUCAACGGAGCAAGAAGCGGCAGCGGAGAGGCUCGGAGUGAGGCUGGCCAUGGUGAAGUGUCCACGGCGGCAUUUCGGCCGGGAUUGGAGAAGACUGGCUCGGUUGCGGGCUAGGACAGGUUAGAGCUUGCGCUCGGGGGCGCAAACGGUUGCGGGGUUCUUGGCGGAGCUUCUGGGGGUUCUCUGGUGGCUUGGAAGGGAGCGAGGCGGACGAAUUCGAGAAGUGCAGGGAGCUCGUCGGCGUCGGGGUUCAGAGGGAAAAGAGAUUUUCCACGGCGGCUCGGGGUUUUAUCCUCGCAGCGUCGUGUUUGCUGCGGAUGAGGAUGCCAGGGCGACGCUCCGUAGGCAAGCAGCUGCCUGGCCAGGCGCGUGGCGGCACUGGACGCAGCGGCUCUGCUCCGGCGGCAGAGCAUCCCCCCUGCUCAAGCACUGUAGCGAUCUCUAUCCAACCAGUUUUGUGGUUUUGCAAAAUUCGCCCAAAUUUUGAACUGAAGGCAAAAUUCCACCAAAAUGAAACUUGUGCAGAAUUUUACAACCUACAAAACUCCUUCUGGUGACCAAAGCUAAAUCUGAGUGGAAAUUGGUGAAUUUAACCAAACAGUUUGAAAUUCAAAUCUCAAUUUAGGGAAAUUCAAAUUUUUGAAUUGGGGCAGAUCAGAAUUUCCAAAAAUUACUUUUGAUUUUCCAUAACAACUUGAAAAACUCCCAACAUGAAAGUUGUUCAACGUUUUGAGCUCUACAACUUUCAUGUUGGUCACUUUUCAAAAUUCCAAAUAUAUUUUGAAUUGGAGAUUCAAGUUGGAAAAGGGGACACUUUCUGGAAAUCUGUAUUUUCAAAAUUACUUUGAAUUUUGUAGUGAAACUUCAAAAACUCAAAACACUAAAGUUGUACAUCUUGACAAGAUCUACAACUUUUCUUUUGAACUCAACUUGAAAUUUUGCUUAGUUUUUAAAUUACACAAAAGGGGGCAAAUCUAGGGUUUUAAAAUCAGGGUUUUCCCCCCAUACUCUCUCGGAAAUCUUCCACCCUAGGAAUUAAACAACCAACACAAGCAUCACUUCACAACAUAAGCACACUUUAAUUCCCUAAGCACAUUCAACCAAAUCAAACUUAUUUUAAGUUGAUGCAUAAUAAUGUGCUUAACAUAUAUGCGAUGCAAUGCUCAUGAUGACAUGAUCCAGUUUUAAUAACCGUAACAUCAAGGAUGUUACAGCCCUUCCCCCUUAAAGAAAUCUCGUACCCCAGAUUUAAAGCCUUAGGGUAUGUAAUGGAAAAGGAAAUUUGUCAAACUAUGUCCUCUUCAACCUUUUCAUAAGACAAGAAGCUGGGGAAGACUACUCAAAUAUAAACAUAUAUGUACACUAAGUACAUGGCUUUGGCUACUCUUUUCCUUCACUAGAGUACACUUCCUAUUUAUCAGAUGUUGUCUUGAAGAGAAGCGUGGAACUCAGGAAAAUUCUCCAUUAGAUAAUCUUCAGAUUCCCAUGUGGCUUCCUCUUCAGAGUGCUGGCUCCAUUGCACCUUGUACCACUUGGUAGUUGUUCUUCGAGUAACUCUAUCUCUUUGGUCCAAUACUCGGAUAGGAUAUUCCGCAUAAGUCAGAUCUGGGUCAAGUUCCACAUCUUCAAUAUCUUGAACCUGGUCUGGUACCCGAAGACACUUUUUCAGUUGAGAUACAUGGAAUACAUUGUGUAUCCCGGAUAAUCGUUCGGGCAGUUUAAGGCGGUAAGCUACCUGUCCACAUCGGUCAAGAAUUGGAAAUGGACCAAUGUAACGAGGUGCUAAUUUGCCUUUAACGCCAAAACGAUUUACUCCUUUCAUUGGGGAUACCUUUAAAUACACAUGGUCACCUUUGGCGAAUCUUAAGGGUCGACGUCUUUUAUUGGCAUAGCUUUUCUAUCGGGACUGAGCAACUUUCAAGUUAUUUUGGAUUUGUCUAACUUUGUUCUCAGUCUCUUUUACUAAGUCAACCCCAAAGAACCACCUUUCUCCAGGUUCCGACCAAUGUAGUGGAGUUCGACAUCGUCGGCCAUAUAGUGCCUCAAAGGGAGCCAUCUUAAUACUUUCUUGGUAGCUAUUGUUGUAGGAAAACUCUGCUAGAGGCAAGCAGUCAUCCCACUUAUCUGGAAAAUUCAGGGCACAAGAUCUUAAUAGAUCUUCUAGGGUCUGAUUUACCCUCUCUGUUUGCCCACCUGUUUGAGGGUGGUAGGCUGUACUGUAUAAAAGCUUGGUGCCCAAAGAUUCAUGUAAGCAUUUCCAGAACUGGGAGACAAAUUGUGUGCCUCUAUCUGACACUAUUGUCUUUGGCACCCCAUGCAGACUUAGUAUAUGAUCAAAAUAAAUCUUAGCAUAGGUGGAGGUAUAAUACGAUUUCUUUACAGGUAAGAAGUGUGCUAUUUUGGUGAGACGAUCCAUAAUGACCCAAAUAGAAUCAAAGCCUUUGGCCGUCUUGGGCAAUCCUACUAUGAAAUCCAUACUAAUAUCAUCCAAUUUCCAUGCUGGAGUAGGCAAGGGUUGCAACUCUCCAUCGGAUUUGAGAUGAAUAGCUUUGACUUUUCGGCAGGUAUCGCAUUGGGCCACAUAGCUGGCUAUUUCUAUUUUCAUUUUCGUGCACCAAAACCUUUGGUUCAGGUCCUGAUACAUUUUAUUGGUCCCCGGAUGAAUAGAAUAUUUGGUAGUAUGAGCUUCAUCCAGGAUUUGCUGACGUAGCUCAGGUACCUUUGGAACCACUAACCGGUUUUUGAACCAGAUUACUCCUGCAUUAUCCACCUUAAAGUCUGUGGGUGCUCUAUUAGAAAUUUUCUCUUUAAGGUAUUUCAUACCUUUGUCUUCCUUUUGUGCCUCUAUGAUCUGAGCUUCGAGAUUGAAAUCAAUCUUUAGAUUGGCAAGGCUUCCUUGGGAAAUCAUUUCUAUCUCCAAGUUCUCUAGCUCUUGGCACAAAGUUAUAUCUUUAGGCGUCACUAUUAAACAAUUACAGUGAGCCUUAUGACUGAGGGCAUCAGCUACUACAUUCGCUUUGCCAGGGUGAUAAUGCACAUCAAGGUAGUAAUCUUUGAUCAAUUCUAGCCACCUUCGCUGGCGCAUAUUAAGUUCAGCUUGAGUGAAGAUGUACUUCAAGCUCUUGUGAUCUGUGUAUAAGUGACAAGUAUUCCCCAACAGAUAAUGGCGCCAGAUCUUUAAUGCAUGUACUACGGCGGCUAGUUCAAGAUCAUGGGUCGGGUAAUUCUCUUCAUGUGGUUUAAGCUGCCUGGAAGCAUAUGCAAUUACGUGACCCUCCUGCAUUAGCACACAGCCUAUCCCUAUUCCUGAUGCGUCACAAUACACAUCAAAGGGUUUUUCAAUAUUUGGCUGGGCUAAGACAGGUGCAGUUGUCAAUAACCUUUUCAGAGUCUGAAAGGCUUGCUCACAUUGAGGUGAAUCAAACAAACCAGUUGUGGCAGAACCUCUUAAGUGUUUGGGCCCACCGACACCUGUCAUUGUCCAAAGGACCUCUCAAGGUGAUGCCGGGGAUCCUCCCACUCUAGAAGUCCGAUGAGCAUCUCAGGACGCUCAUUCCACCGCUACCUGUGGAGUAUCAAGCGAACUCGUCCUGACCACUAGCGAUGGUCAAUUAACGAGAACUUCUUCUUCUCUCCCUUACAGGAUAGCAGGUGGCCACCUUAACACCAGGAUCACUCGUUGCGAAGACAUUGCAGUAUCACAAACGACAAAAGACCAAAAUAAUAUUUCAGCGUAAAACAGCGGAAGUAUUACAUAACUUAAUUUACAAAAGUAGUUCUUCCAAAUAGUAGAGUGUUAUUACAAGCCAGGUCCAGCGGAGCAACUUAAACUUUAGUACACACAUUACAAACUUACAGACCCUGCCCAUGGGUCACGCUCACUCUUCUUCGUCAUCAACCUCGACAACGGACACACAACAGGGUCCGAAACAUGUCGGCUCCUGAACUUCACCUACAACAGGGGUUAUAAAACCCUGAGUACAGGAGUACUCAACAAGACUUACCUAGCGGAAAAAAGAGGAGAAAUUAGGAAUGCAGGCUUGGGGUAGACAAGGAGUGGCUGAGCAAGGAGCCAAAGUGUAUUCCACAAUAACCCUUCAAACUUUCUUGUUUGAAAACCUAUCUAGUAGCAGGGCUAAGCAUCACUACGCGAUUUUAAAAUAAAACAGGUGCCAAGGACAAGAUAACAAAUAUCAAGGUAGUAAAUGCAGUAAGUAGGUUAACCCAAUUCUGAACUACCUAAUGCAGCAUUUUCAAUUCAUAAGUGGUAAAAGAUUUAAAAUAUUCAAGGAGGGGUUAAUGCAUCCGGGGCUUGCCUUGGUUGCAGAGCUGAGAGGGUUCCUCGGAGACUUCUCAAGUCUCGGAUCCUACUUCUUCGAACGGAGCACCGACCUCGGGGUUCGGUUCAACGGUCGCUCCUUCGGUCACGUGCACUAUACGCAAAAUGAUGAAUGCUCAUGAUAUACAUAUGACAAAUAUUUGAGAAGGACCGAGUUAAGUACAACGGGCCUUCUCGGUGCAACACAGACUAAUCAAUAAUUAAAGUUGUUUAUCAUCUUAGUGUCUUUACCCAAGAGGUUGCAUCUGUAAACUAAGAUUCCUCUUAAUCCAUAAUUAUUCUUAAUUAACUAAUUAUUAAUUUUUUUAUCUUAAUUAACUUUCAAUUAAGUAUUAAUGACAGUAAUUAAACAUUAAUGCCAAACAAUAAUUAAAUGCCAAAGGUCAUUAAGGUUAAUGACCUUAGGUCAUCACACAAUCCCAAAAUCACUCAAACCCUAAUUUGAGAAUUUAACUAAUUAUUACCUAAUUGUUUUAGAAUUAUUAUUUAAUUACUAAUUAAGGGUUUAAUAAUAUUUUAUUCCAACUUUAUCCAAAUGCCACCAAAUUUUGUGUGAAGCCAGGGAAUUAUAUUCAGAGGCAUCUCACAAAUUUUGGUGAUUUUUGGGCAUGCAAUUAAAUUAUUAAACUUCAUAGAAAUUUUAUUUGCUAAUUAAAAGAGGCAAUUUUUAUACACAUGCAAACUACGAGAAAAUAGAAACUAAUAUUUUUCAUGUGUUCUACUUAUUCUAUGGAACCUAUACAAAAAUUUUCAUAUUUUUUGGAUCAGCACAUGAUUUAUUAUACAAAAUCAAACAUACAACACAAUUUUGCAUAAAAGAAAAAGGGAAACGAUCACUGUUCCCACGGCCGGCCCGCUUGGCUUUGGCCCAAGCCGGCCUGAGCGCAUUCCCGCGCCCAGCGCCAUCUCCCUCUCUCUCACGCGGUCGCUGACGGGCGGGUCCCGCUCGUCAGCUCCGUCUUCUUCCUUGUGCCGCGGCUCCGGCGAGCUCAAGCACGCCGUCGGCGACCUCUCGGCCUCCGCGGUAAGACGUGUUAGCUUCCCCAACCUCACGCGCACCCAAAGACACCCUUUGCACCCCCUCUCUCCUAUCCUAGCCCCCAUGGCCACGGGUGCGGCGGACGGCCGCCUCGGCCGAGCAAACGCCGACCGCUACAAGCGAGUAAAACGCGAGAUGAAAGGCGUAAAAGUAUCGGUGGCUCACCGCGACUUCAACGGAGCAAGAAGUGGCAGCGGAGAGGCUCGGAGUGAGGCUGGCCACGGUGAAAUGUCCACGGCGGCGUUUCGGCCGGGAUUGGAGAAGAAUGGCUCGGUUGCGGGCUAGGACAGGUUAGAGCUUGCCAAGGGGGCGCAAACGGUUGCGGGGUUCUUGGCGGAGCUGCUGGGGGUUCUCUGGUGGCUUGGAAGGGAGCGAGGAGGACGAAUUCGGGAAGCGCAGGGAGCUCGUCGGCGUCGGGGUUAAGAGGGAAAAGAGAUUUUCCACGGCGUCUGGGUUUUAUCCUCGCAGCGUCGUGUUUGCUGCGGAUGAGGACGCCAGGGCGAUGCUCUGCAGGCAAGCACCUGCGUGGCCAGGCGCGUGGCGGCGCUGGACGCAGCGGCUAUGCUCCGGCGGCAGAGCAUCCCCCCUGCUCAAGCACUGUAGCGAGCUCUAUCCAACCAGUUUUGUGGUUUUGCAAAAUUCGCCCAAAUUUUGAACUAAAGGCAAAAUUCCACCAAAAUGAAAGUUGUGCAGAAUUUUACAAGCUACAAAACUCCUUUUGGUGACCAAAGCUAAAUCUGAGUGGAAAUUGGUGAAUUUAACCAAACAGUUUGAAAUUCAAAUCUCAAUUUAGGGGAAUUCAAAUUUUUGAAUUGGGGCAGAUCAGAAUUUGCAAAAAUUACUUUUGAUUUUCCAUAACAACUUGAAAAACUCCCAACAUGAAAGUUGUUCAACUUUUUGAGCUCUACAACUUUCAUGUUGGUCACUUUUCAAAAUUCCAAAUAGAUUUUGAAUUGGAGAUUCAAGUUGGAAAAGGGGACACUUUCUGGAAAUCUGUAUUUUCAAAAUUACUUUGAAUUUUGUAUUGAAACUUCAAAAACUCAAAACACCAAAGUUGUACAUCUUGACAAGAUCUACAACUUUUCUUUUGAACUCAACUUCAAAUUUUGCUUAGUUUUUAAAUUACACAAAAGGGGGCAAAUCUAGGGUUUUAAAAUCAGGGUUUCCCACCCCCCUACUCUCUCGGAAAUCAUCCACCCUAGGAAUUAAACAACCAACACAAGCAUCACUUCACAACAUAAGCACACUUUAAUUCCCUAAGCACAUUCAACCAAAUCAAACUUAUUUUAAGUUGAUGCAUAAUAAUGUGCUUAACAGAUAUGCGAUGCAAUGCUCAUGAUGACAUGAUCCAGUUUUAAUAACCGUAACAUCAGGGAUGUUUCAGCUAGUAGUAGUGAUAGGAAUAGGAGGGCCAUUAACAACAAUAAUAGAGAAGGGUUAGCGAACCAUAGGAGCAGAACAAGUGAAAGUGAGGAGGGCUGAGAUGUCAUAUGUGAAGUAGCACCUGAGUCGAAGUACCACUUGUUGGUCGAAGGAGGUGUUAGCGACGUCGUGCUGAAGGCAGCAGCAAGAUCCGUCAGGUCCUAGGAAGGUAGGUCGGUCAUAGGGUUGUAAACUUAGAGCAGCCCACAUCACAUACACGGAGAUUUGCAGCGGCAAUAAUUUUAGAAAGAGUUUAGAAAUAAUAACACAAGUUUCGAUUUUCCUAAUUGAUUAGAAAACAACAUAGCUUUCAAAUGAUUACAAUAACAUAAGUUCCAAUACAUUGCUAGCAUAAGUGACAUCCUCUGACAAAAGCAUGUAGAUGAGAACACUAUAUAGAAUUAUCAAGCCCACAGACGGUUAGCCACCAUAUUUCACAGACUGAAGACUUCACCUGCAACAAGGUGGGAAAAUAAACCCUGAGUACUCGAAUGUACUCUGUUGACGGUCCUUAAGUACUAAAAUUAAUAAUCAAAUAAACAUGAAAAAGGAUCAAUAUGAAACAAACAUCUAGAAUUAGGGUUUUAUCUGACAGAAUUCCACGAGCUUUGGUGUUUAUCUAUUUCUACAGGGGGUCAUCAGAGAAUAUGGAGAGAAGGCCCACAUGUCAUGUUUACAACGAGAUAAUUACGUGCCGCGCAAUUUUCCUCAAUCUAGAAGAGUCCAAAAGCCACGGGAACGAACGGGAACACGAUCGGGCCCGGGGGCAGGGCGCCCGCCCAGGCCAGGAGUCCAAUCAGGACUCUGCUUCGGGGCUAAACUCCACCGACCUAAAGGAUCAAUCUAAACCAUACAAUCUAUGUCGGUUUGAUCUGACGGCCCACAUUCACUUGAAAGGACUAUAUAACCAAGGCCUCUCCACCCCUAGGGAGAGAGGAGAAGAGAAGAAAUCAUUAUUCAGAGGUAGCCAUCAAAGUUAGGGUUUAGAGCUUCUCUCCCACAGAGAAUUAGAAUUAGCUACUCCCUAAUCCUUCAAGUUUAGAGGUUCGAUUAGAUAGCAAUUAGAGAAGUAGAGCACUACGCUCUGGAUUCGGAUCUUCGGUAAUAAAGAUUGGUAUUAUUCAUAUCUUUCUCUAAUUCUUUGUUCUAAUUGCAUUAUGUCUCUAAUUAUUAUGUUCUUAGUUUGUUCUAGUUCUAUAUUUGAUAUAGUUCUAAUUGAUAAUGUGUUUAUGUAUAAGUUUGCAAAGCGCUUAGCUCUUGACGCGAGGGAGUUAUGUGAUAGAUCACAUGUGAGCGUGGUGCUUAGAUGUUAUUUAUCUGCAAAUGUAUCCUAUUGGCCGGGUUGUGUGGUAGUUCGCGAUAGUGACAGCUUCGUUGAUUCUUAUAUAGUCCACCCUCCGUUGAUAGGACAGGCAGAACCGGUAUUGUGGAGUAAGUCGUGCGAUGCUCUGAUUUACUUUAUCAAUGUUCUUUAUACAUGAAUGAAGAGUCUUUUAUGCUAUAUAUGAUCUUGUAGAUAACUAGACUAGAUUAUGACUUAGUAGUUAGUAGAUAACUUCGAAUCCAUUCUCUAGCUAAUCCGACAUCACCUACAUAUAUGAGGAGUAGUCUAUUUUCUAAUCGCUGUGUUAUUUAUCCCUUGAACUUAUAAUUCAUUAUCAUUAUCUUUAUGGUUUACCCCCGGCUAAAGUAAGUGACUGUGUGACGAGUUUCUCAUUAGUAAUCAUGUUCUUGCAAGUUUAUCUCUAGUCUGUGCCUUGAUAGAUUUUGCCCUUAAUUUAAUCUCCUUAGAUCCCUUGAGCAAAAUUAUAAAUAACGAUACCUGGAAUACUUAUCCUGGUGAAAUGCUACAAUGAGGUGUUUUAACUGUGCGCUUGUGGAUAGAAUAGAUUAUUUUCUAGAGAGCCUUUACAUUUAUAAAUACCUUUGUACACUCUGGCACCAUGCUGGGGAUGACAACGUAGUAUCUAAGUGGUGUUUGCUAGUGUCAACAAGCAUUUCUGGCGCCGUUGCCGGGGAAUCUCAUAAGUAAGUCAUAAAAGGGUAAUACAUAGGAACGGUAAGGAAAUCCAGUAAAUCAGUCAAGGUUAUUCAUAUAAAAUUUUAGACUAGACUAUAGAGAAAUAAUUGCAUAAAACAGCUACUAAGUGAGAAAUCAUAACAAGGCACCUCUGCUUUGGCAGGUUCACCCUGUUGUUUUUCUAUGUUUAUAUUUUUAUACAGGGUAUAUCAGGAUUGACUUUGGGUACAUACAACUCUUCAUCAUCAGAACCAAAGCAAUCAAGAAAGAGAAGAAGAAGCUAGCUACCAAUUGCUGAAGCUAUGGCACAAAAGACCUUGCAAGAAUUCUCUGGUCCUAGUCUUGAGAACAUUCCAACUGGUCCAAGAUUUACAGUACAAGAAGGAGUACCCGAGUUUGAGCUCAAGUCAAGCCUCAUCAAUUUGGUACAAGCUACACAAUUCAGUGGAAAGGCACAUGAAGAUGCUAGUGCACACUUGCAGAAUUUCUUGGAGAUUGGAAGCACAAUCCACAUCAACGGAGUUGACAAAGACGUCAUACUACUUCGCCUUUUUCCAUUCUCACUAGAAGGAAAAGUGAGGAAGUGGUUCUACACUCAUCAAGAUAACAUCAACAACUGGACGAACUUGUUAGAUGCCUUUCUAUCAAAGUUUUUCCCUAUAGGCAAAACAACUAUCUUAAGAGGAAAUAUUGUCAGUUUCCAACAGCAGAAGACAGAAGCCAUUUCAGAAGCAUGGGAGCGUUUUCAGGGAUACAUUUCAGAUUGUCCUCACCAUGGAAUGGCCACAUGGUUACUUAUGCAGACCUUCUACCAUGGAUUAACCCAGAAGGCUCGUGAGUGUCUAGAUGCAUCUGCUAAAGGAUCAUUUUUGGAGCUUACAAUUGGAAAAGCAGAGAUACUUUUGGAUAAGAUAGCAGAAAAUCAAAGCUGGUUCCAAGAUAGGGCUCAACAAUGUCAUCAAACUGAAGAAAUACCAGAAGAAGUAAAUGCAUUAUGAACUAAGAUGGAAAAUUUGCUCUAUUGGAUUGACCAGAGGGCCAAGUUCAAAGAAGAUCAAAGGGCCAUUGAGACAGCAUACAAAUAUCAACAAACUUCGAGUCAACCCAAUAGCAAAGGUAUGAAUUCAGGUAAUACUUUCAAGCAACUUUCAUUAAAAGAGAUAAUUGCUCAACAAACCAAAAUUAAUGAUGAAGUUAAACAAAGGCUAGAUACAAAUGAAUCAUCUCUAGUAGAUAUACACAAUAAAAUGGAUUUUCUAUUAACUGCCUUUGAUGAGCAAAACACUCUUAAUAAAAGGGUAGAGCUUAAAUUAAUAAAGAUAGCUGCUGCACUGUCUGUUGCUACUAACAUUGAGCAGGUAAAAAAUAUAACUACUAGAGGAGGAAAAGCCACCAGAGAUCCCCCAUACCCAAAAGAGAAACAAAGAACAUCAGCACCAGUGCAACCAGCAGUGAUAGAAGAAGAAAGCCUAGUUGAAGCAGCAGAUCUGCCCCAACCACCAAGAACUAGAGAAAUGAGGAAAGAUUUUUACGACACCACUAUUUGCCAUUUCCCAAAAGAAACAGAGGACUGCAGUCGGAUGAGCAGUUUGGUAAGUUUGUAGAGGUCAUUCAGAAAUUAUAUGUCAACAUACCUCUGCUGGAUGCCAUACAGGUACCUACAUAUGCGAAGUACAUCAGAGAUAUUCUUAACAAGAAGAGGCCACUGCCCACCACUGAGGUUAUCAAGCUGACAGAAGAAUGUAGUGCGGCCAUCCUUAACAAACCACCAAAGAAGAAGGAAGAUCCAGGAUGCCCUACUAUUGAUUACUCAAUCGGAAACCAACACUUCAACAACGCACUUUGUGAUCUCGGAGCAAGUGUCAGUGUGAUGCCAGCAUCAGUCUAGAAAAAGCUUGAGCAUGCGACCCUAGAACCAACAUCAAUGUGCCUACAACUAGCGGAUCAAUCGGUUCGACGUCCGUUGGGUAUCGCCGAGAACAUUCCAGUCAAGAUCAGAGAUUUCCUGGUGCCAGAAGACUUUGUAGUACUGGACAUGAGUCCUGACUCAAAAGUGUCCAUCAUCCUUGGAAGGCCAUUUCUGAGCACUGCCAAUGCCCACAUUGAUGUCGGGAAAGGAGAAAUCAAGUUCAACAUAAACGGACAAGAAGAACACUUCACAUUCAAACCCAGACCAGAGAGAGACUCUACAGUGAAGGAAGUUCAUGAAGAACCACUAGAGACACCAUCUCCGGAGGAAGGUAAUUCAGAAGAUUAAAAGAUUUGGAGGUCCAGCUUGGGGGACCUAAAAAUCCCAAACCCUCACCGGGAGGUAAAUCGGUAUUUAUCCGCAUUAUUAAUUUUCUCAUAUUUAAAUUCUUGCAUAAUUAAAUCUUGCAUUAGUCACAUUUAUUCAUUAUUAUAUUAAUCAAAAGCCCCAUAUAAAUAAUAUUCAUGGUGUGUAACAACUCAUAUUUAUUAAUUAUUGUGGAGGCACAAAAAUAUUUUCCAUAAUCAUUUUAAUUAAGUUUCAAUUCUCAUAGAUUUUCCUGCAUUAUAUUUAAUUAUAGUAACCUUCUAGAAGCAUGACCCACACUCCUUGGGUCCCACAUGUCAUACACUUCACCUCACAUACAUCCCAUCACAUAUGUUUCCACUCACUAGACACCAAUAUGUUUCCACUCACUAGACAUCCUUCCACCGUCCAACCACCACCAACACAAUAUUAUUCUGCGUGAAAUCAAAGAAAGGAAGCAAGUGAAGGAGGCACACCCAAAUUGGACACCAGGGGUGGGCGCCCGCCCACCUACCCAGGGCGCCCGCCCUGUUCCUUGCUCAGCCUAUAAAUGGCCACCUCCAGCUCCCCUUCUCUUCACACACACAUUUCAGAAAACCUUGCAAGCUCAUAGUUGUCGGUUUCCAGAGAAUAGCUCUAAGUGUGAGAAGGUUGAGAGUUCUUUUGAGUGAGAGAGUGAGUAUCACCUAGUAAGUAGUGAUCCCGUUGUCUAAGCGGAAAUAAAAGUUGUUUAGGAGGAGGCUCUACCAAAAUAGAAACUUGUCUUGAACGAUUAACCCCUGGACUACUGAUAUUCCGGACAGCUGACCACUAACAUUUUCUCUCACAUUUUCCACUAGUUGUGUUUUUGCCAACUUUUGUUUGCAGGAUGUUUAAGAAGGUGAAGAUUGCAGGGAAGGUUCUCAAGUCCUCACAGCCAUCAGAGAUGAGCGUCGACCCGACGCCGACACAAGCUCCGUCAUCUUCAUCAGGUCAGCAAGUCAAGGUCCCUCUCAAGAUAGGAGACCUUGGACUGAAGACCCGAAGAGAGAAAGAAGUAUAUCAGCAAUUGAAGAACAAAGAUUUUAUUCACACCCCUACUCUCGAUCCAAUCUUACUACAAGAAAUAGGUAUGGACACUGAAUUUGACUUAAUUUUCCAAAUGAUAGGUUGGACAAAUUUUUGGAAUAUAACUGAGCUGGGUUCUCAUCUUCUCACCCUCGAAUUUCUUUGCACCUUACAAUAUUAUGAGGGGGGAAUUGUUUUUCGGAUGUUCAAACAGGAGAUUAUGUUGUCUUGGAGAGAGCUGAGCGACCAUCUUGGUUUCUCUUCAAGAUGCAUCCUGAACAUUGACUCCGACCUACCUAAUUUUGAGAGUAGCUAGUUUUGGAGAGAAAUAUCUAGAGAUAAUUUUUAUAGUCAAGCCCGAACCAGUGACAUGGAACACCCCACUCUUAGGAUGUUCCACAAAUGGCUUGGGUACAAUCUUUUCUAUCGUGAUGAUAUUUGGAAAGUAAGAGUAGGAGAUUUACAACUUUUAUAUGCUGCUAUUAAUAAAGUACCUACUUCACCUGUUACACUUUUAGUUUCUCAUUGGCUUAGUGUACCUAGUCUACAGAGACCAGUAGGAUGUACUUCACUUAUCACUCGUCUAGCCUCUAACCUUCAUUUACUAGAAAACUCAUCGUUGGAUUUCAUAGAGGAGUUAAGAAUUUAUCAUGGCUAUGACACAUUUAGACAGGCUCGGAUGUUAAAGAAAGAGGGGAAUGUAAUGUAUAUGCUAUAUGAUGAUAAAGGCAAGAUUCGGUUACCUAACCUGAACCUUGGCCUAUACGUUGUUCAAAAUUUUUUGAUUGAGAUUGCAGCAACACCAGUGAACCAGAGAGCUCCACAGCAAGUGGCAUCUGAAAGGAUGACCACCCAUCGAGAACGCACCUGGUAUGGAGCUGAUCCCGGACCAGAAGAAGCAGCGCACCUGCAUUAUUGCAAUUACAACCCCCGAGUCCUUCGAGACCCAUGGUUCGACAUGCGCAACCACAAGAGCCAACAGAGGAGACAUGGCCGGAGAGCCAAGACCACCAGUGGACAAACCCGCCUUUCCAUACGGGCAGGUACUCCACUGAUCCAUAUGGAGCUUCAGGAUCCAGACCUCCGCCCCAAUUUGAUACAGGACGAUACUCCGACGCCUCCUACGCUUUCACGAAUGACUACUAUCAAGAGGUCGGUGCUUUCUUCACUCGUACCGACAACACUCUCCUCGACAUCCAGAACACGCAAGCAGAACAUGGAAGACUCCUGGAAGAGCAACAAAAAUGGAACCAGGACCACGCCGCUGCAGUAGAAGAGCUGAGACAAGAUACAACAACAAUGAACAACAACAUCACAACCAUGAUGCGGUUCUGGAACAUCGGGUAAGACCGACGUCAACAUCAAGCUUGGGGGAGUUCCUCCCCAAUUUAUCAAGUAAGUUUUUAUUUGCUUUUCUUAUUUAUUCUUUUCUAUUUUAGUAUUUUAUCUUAAAGAGAAAAAAAAACUUAGAAAACCCAAUAAAUAUUUUCUUACUGCAUUUUAUAAACAUGAAAACAAAAUAAAAAGAGUGUGUAGAUAAGUGUGCUUUAUUUUCCUGCUAAGUUUAAUCUCUAGAAAAAAAUAAAAAGACCAAAAAGAUGCAUGAUGGAAAUGAUGAAUAGUUGCUCUGUUGCUUACUCUCAAGUACCUAACUUUUAUAUUAGAGUUCUUCCAGGAAUUACUAAAACUUACUAUCUUUGGGAAGCAUAAAACUAAUGUCUAGGUAAGAGAAAGGCAUGAUAUAAAGUUGAGCUGCUGUUUAUGUUGUUCCUACUACACUAAGUUCUGGAGAUUUAUUUUGAAAACUUACAAAUCACAUGAUGAGUUCCUAGCAUUACAACUACCUACCACAGCCAUACUUGCUAUAAUAUCUUUUACUAUAUUUACAUUGAGUUUGAUCGAGCUGUGUAGACCCUUAGGAGCUUUUCAUGUGGUUAAAUUAAGAUAUUCACUUGCACACAUCUACCACAGCAUUCAUCACCAAUCAUUAAAAUUGUUAAAAAUAUUAUCACUCACUGUCCCAAGUAUUGUUAUUCUCUUUCUCUAAAAAGAUUCAAUACAGAAGAGGCAUGGGUUAUGCAAAAAUAUGCGAGGAAAUAAAAAGGGGCAAGUGCCCGGAACCUCAAAAAAGAAAGAAAAAGAGUGAGACGAGAGGUAAAAAUGGACAAGUGUCAGGAGUAGAAUUAGGGGUACAAAGUUGCCCACUUGAGCAGAAAAAAAUAGACAAGUGUCCGACAGUAGAAUUAGGGGUAACUACUACCCACCUGAAAAAAAGAAGAAAAAGAAAGAAAAGAUAGCCCAUGUUCUCCCAAAGCAAAAAUCAGAGAAGAGGAGAGAUAACAAUAUGAGGAGCUAUGAGAACUAAGUUUUAUUAUCACUUAUGCAUUUUUACCAUCACUAUCAUUUACUCCAUCACACAUGCACAUCUUGAUUUAAUUAUGUGCUGAGUUCCUUUGGAUCCAUGGCUCGAUUAGACAACAUAUGUAUGAGCUAUUUUUCACUCCUAUAAGCUCUACUUAAAUAUUCCAUUAGCUAUAGGUAAGUGACAUAUUGGUAAGGAUCCACAAAUACCACAUAUAGAGAGACUUGAGAGAAUCAUUGUUAGGAACUCUGAGUUUUAUUUUGAAAAACUUAUGAAAAACUCUAGAAUAAAGGUGAAGUAUAGACAGGAGGAAUAGUGCUUGACUUAAUUAUUUUGUCUUUCAAUUACUUAAGACUUAAGUGCAGGUACUAAACUCCAUAACACUUCACUCUAAUCUGGAAAAAAUUUUAUAUAAAAGCAUGUGUGCCUGUCAGGAAAGAAAACAUCAAAGCAACUCCUGAUCCAUCUGAGUUUAGCUAUUUGCUCAGGGACGAGCAAAGGGUAAGCUUGGGGGAGUUUGUUGACAGUCCUUAAGUACUAAAAUUAAUAAUCAAAUAAACAUGAAAAAGGAUCAAUAUGAAACAAACAUCUAGAAUUAGGGUUUUAUCUGACAGAAUUCCACGAGCUUUGGUGUUUAUCUAUUUCUGCAGGGGGUUAUCAGAGAAUAAGGAGAGAAGGCCCACAUGUCAUGUUUACAACGAGAUAAUUAUGUGCCCCACAAAUUUUCCUCAAUCUAGAAGAGUCCAGAAGCCACGGAAACGAACGAGAACACGAUCGGGCUCGGGGGCAGGGCGCCCGCCCACCCCCCUUGGGCGCCCGCCCAGGCCAGGAGUCCAAUCAGGACUCUGCUUCGAGGCUAAACUCCACCGACCUAAAGGAUCAAUCUAAACCAUACAAUCUAAGUCGGUUUGAUCUGACGGCCCACAUUCACUUGAAAGGACUAUAUAACCAAGGCCUCUCCACCCCUGGGGAGAGAGGAGAAGAGAAGAAAUCAUUAUUCAGAGGUAGCCAUCAAAGUUAGGGUUUAGAGCUUCUCUCCCACAAAGAAUUAGAAUUAGCUACUCCCUAAUCCUUCAAGUUUAGAGGUUUGAUUAGAUAGCAAUUAGAGAAGUAGAGCACUACGCUCUGGAUUCGGAUCUUCGGUAAUAAAGAUUGGUAUUAUUCAUAUCUUUAAUUCUUUGUUCUAAUUUUAUUAUGUCUCUAAUUAUUAUGUUCUUAGUUUGUUCUAGUUCUAUAUUUGAUAUAGUUCUAAUUGAUAAUGAGUUUAUGUAUAAGUUUGCAAAGCGCUUAGCUCUUGACGCGAGGGAGUUAGGUGAUAGAUCACAUGUGAGCGUGGUGCUUAGAUGUUAUUUAUCUGCAAAUGUAUCCUAUUGGCCGGGUUGUGCGGUAGUUCGCGAUAGUGACAGCUUCGUUGAUUCUUAUAUAGUCCACCCUCCGUUGAUAGGACAGGCAGAACCGGUAUUGUGGAGUAAGUCGUGCGAUGCUCUGAUUUACUUUAUCAAUGUUCUUUAUACAUGAAUGAAGAGUCUUUUAUGCUAUAUAUGAUCUUGUAGAUAACUAGAGUAGAUUAUGACUUAGUAGUUAGUAGAUAACUUAGAAUCCAUUCUCUAGCUAAUCCGACAUCACCUACAUAUAUGAGGAGUAGUCUAUUUUCUAAUCGCUGUGUUAUUUAUCCCUUGAACUUAUAAUUCAUUAUCAUUAUCUUUAUGGUUUACCCCCUGCUAAAGUAAGUGACUGUGUGACGAGUUUCUCAUUAGUAAUCAUGUUCUUGCAAGUUUAUCUUUAGUCUAUGCCUUGAUAGAUUUUGCCCUUAAUUUAAUCUCCUUAGAUCCCUUGAGCAAAAUUAAAAAUAACGAUACCUGGAAUACUUAUCCUAAUGACAUGCUACAAUGAGGUGUUUUAUCUGUGCGCUUGCGGAUAGAAUAGAUUAUUUUCUAGAGAGCCUUUACAUUUAUAAAUACCUUUGUACACUCUGGCACCAUGCUGGGGAUGACAACCUAGUAUCUAAGUGGUGUUAGCUAGUGUCAACAUACUCAACUAGACUUACACGACAGAAGAGAAAUAAAAGACUCUCCCGGAUAUGCAAGGCUAUUUGGUGGAGUUGGUUGGAUAGCAUAACUUCACCAAAAAGAGCAUUACUAUCAUGAGUCCUUACUUUCAAUCUUUUAAUCAAUAUUUUAGCAUCAAGUUCAGUUUAGCUACCAUAGCUAUAUUUUGCACCUAUUCUAAAGCAACCACAUGAUUAAUAAGCAUCACAUUAAUAACCAUAUCCGGUUUAUCAUGUAGCCAUCGUAAUCAUCAUAACCAUUAAGUUUCAUUUAGUGUAUCUACGUUGCCACUACUCAAUACAACUUCUCACUAUCCAGGAGAGACGGUGAUUCAAAUCGAUUCCUAUCCAGAUGGAGGGGUAUUCCUAGCACUCACCCAAGCAUACCUUGCGAACGCAGCUUUAGGUCACCUUUAGCACAACUCAGGACUAAGUCGCGGGUCCGAUCAGCACCGCACCCCUAGGGACCGCAAAUCUGCUAGGGUCAGGACUCUAACCUGACACCUAGGUCUUAUCUCAUCGACUCCCUACACAUCCUUACUACUAACCGGGGUGCACAUUCAAAUAGAAUGGGGUGCCCGGCCUGAAUUGACUCAUUGGCUUCACGGUCGGAACGACUUAUCCGGCCAACUAAGUGUUAGGCAUGCAUUCAACACGACGAGAGGACAUACAUCGUCGAUCCUUAAACGACACAGACAGGGAUAGAUUCACACCCAAGACCUCCAUGCCUUGUUGUUUCACUAUCGUCAUCCCACCGAGUCUCCAUUCAUUAUUAAAGCCAUGAUUAUUUCCAUGAUAGCAAAUAUAGCCAACUGUGAUCAGGUAUCCACCUAUAUCUCGCAGGUGACAGGAAAUCACCUGGCUUCUACUGAGCUUAGCAUAGCUAAGCAUAGAAUGUCUUUCUUAUACUAGUAAGGGUUUAGGUAGUUUCAUAUAGUGGACAGGGUAGGUAAUAUGCACCAACGGUUUCAUUCAACUGCUAUCACCUAAUGCAUCAUAUAAAGUUAUACUCUUGUGCUUUUGUAAAAAGAGAGGGUAGGAGACUUAAAUGCUCCAGGGCUUGCCUGGAAUCCGACACAAAUCAGUUAAGUUAGCUUGCUCCGUCUUGAUGACAUCUAAGGUCACAACACUUGUGUAGUCCUUCCAUCAUCUAGAUAGGUCCACCAUCAAGUCCUUCACGUGGUUUAUCUAGCGUACCUAAAUGAGAUACAAGAUGCAUUUAGGUACGCUAGAUAAACCACUAGGUAUGACCAUACAGAAGUAUGGCAAGAGCAUGGUUACACACAAGAAGCAUGGCAAGAGCUUGGCAAGAGCAUGGCAAGACAAAGCAUCACACACAAGAAGCAUGGCAAGAGCAUGGUUACACUAAACAUACUUAAGCACAUCUCAUUGCUCAACUUAAUGAUUACACAACCAACCUGCUAAGACAACAAGGAAUGCAACACUAAGCAUAUUAGACAUGGCACACAUGUUUCACAUGAUUUCAGGUGUAUUAACUUGGCCAUUUUCAAAGACAUGAGUCACUUAAAAACACACACAAAGUAAAGUAAUCAAGCAUUCAUGCAUUUUCAGCAAUUCUGGCCAUACAUGCAGCAGCUGAGUAAAUAAAUCAUAACUAGAGUUCUACAAAUCCAAAAUCAUAAAACUGUGUACAAUUCAUAUUUAAUCAUCUCAGCAUGAUUAGUAAUCUAACUAAGUCAAACAUGCAUAUUUAUAGAAUCUGGUCCAGGAAUUCCAGAGAACAAGCAUUUUGACAGAUAAACUUUAUACCUUUAUAACUCACAAACAAUUUAGCCAAAAGAUAUGAAACAUUAACACAAGCUAUAUAAAUGAGUUAUCUACAAAUUUUAUAUAGACAAGCAUAACUGGAGUUACACAACUCCAAAAGACAUGCAAGAAGACAUUCUGAAGAGCUUAAUAAAUUAUCUAUAUUUCAUCUUUAGACAUCAAAGAAUGAUUCAUAAGUUUGGCAGGUCAAAAUAUUAGGAUUACAGAAUCAGGUCCUAACAAGACAGAGAGCAACCAUUUUUAUACCCAACUUUGAACAGCCAUAACAUACAAACCACAUAACUACAUGCCACAAAAUUUUAGCAGCAGAUAGAUAAAUGAAUUAUCUACAACUUUGCUAUAAACAAGAUUCCCAGAAAACAUCAUUUACAUAUUGUAAUCCAAACAGUUCUGGAAACUGUCUAGAAACAACAAUUGCAAACAAGUAAUUAUUAACUUAUGUUUCAAACAUUCAUUUGAGCAAAACCAUUAUUACCAAUAGUUUGCACAUAUCUAAAUAACACCAGAAAACAUAGUGGUCAUUACCAAAUAAAUUUAUUUAAUGCCUUUCUUAAUUUAUUUGAGUGAUAAGGUGAAUUAAAUAACAUAGCAAAUUUAUAGUAGCUUCUACAUACUAUCCAUAGUCUACUGCCCAAAUUUCAUUGCAUUUGAAUGAACAUAGCAACAUAUUUGAAAAAGACAAAUUACUAUUGAAAUUAACCAUGUUAGAGCAAGAUAAAUGCAUAAAUCAUAUUUUCUUCAAACACAUGACCAUAUUAUAUGCCAACAUGAUACAAAAAUAUCAUUAAAUUGUACUGGAACAACAUUUUCCAUUUUUACAUUUUUAUUUAUAAUUAUAAACCAUUUAGCAAGCCUUAAGCAAGUUAAAUCAAUAACUCAAUCAUACUGUAACAAACAUUCAUGCAAAUUUUACGAUAUAUCAAACAUCACAUGAAUAGCAUGCCACAAAAAUUUCACUUCAUUUGAAGCUCUACAGCAGCAGUUAAAAAAGACCAAAUUAACUAGCAUUAAACACCUAGCUGCAUAAAUCAUUUUCUACAGCCAAAACUUUACACUAAAACAUGCCAUACUAUAGAUCUACUACAUAGAUAAUUUCACAAGAAUUCCAAACAGUCCACAUUUUCUACGAAUUUCUAUGCAUUUCCAAAGUUCCAGCAUUUCUCAAAACAAAUAGGUCCUCUGAGUACUAUUCAUAUGAGUCAUAGGCUCUGCAGAAAACCCCCUGGAUGAAGUCAAAUUUCAAUAGGAAGGCCAUAGUCCCGAGGAAAACAGAGGCCUCGCCGGAGCUUGCUGUUCUGGCCAGUCGGAGCCUCAUCGGCGGCGAUGGAGUGGUGGGGAAGCACCGGGAGGCUAGCACACACUCGCUGGUGGUCUUGGAUGGCUGGGAGAGGGCCCGUGGCGGCGUGGCCACGUACGCCGGCCGGUCCAACGACGGCAGCUCCGGUGGUAGCCAUCCACGGCGGCAAUUAGGGAUGGACAAAGGGUGCGUCGAGGGCGGCAUGAGGAGAGGAAGAUAGUGCUGCGGUCGGUUUGAACAGAGGAAGGUCGAAAGCCUCAGAUGGUGGAGAUCCAUGGGGCGGCAAUGGUGGACGUGGUUGCGUUCUCGCGCGGUGGAGAGCGAGGGCGAGCGGAGAGAGUGAGAGAGGACGCCAGGGAGGAGUGGCGAGCGUCUGGGAAUGGCUUGGCAUGUCCCCAUCACAAGUAGAGGCAGUAGCAUGCUGCAGCAACGGUGGGGGCGCGACCACCGCAUUGUUGUCACGCACAGGCCACGCGUCGGCCUUUGAGGCAUUCUCCCGAACAGCUGGCGAGUGACGGUGUGGUCGACAUUGGAUGCAAAUAUGGGCUAGCUACUUGCAGAAUUUGGAGAUGGGCCAAAAAGCAAUGUUGUCAAACUCGGCCUGCUAUACAAAAUACGUUUAAGGUGCCAAGUCAUUAGAUCCAUGGAUCAGUGGGUAAUCAGCUGCCAACCUUUGAGUGUAAACAUAAAGAUAGAGAUUUGCAAAAACCCAAAAUUGAUGAUCAAGAUGAAGUAAAACUUGAUGAAAUUUCUUGCAUGUUAUUCUCCACAAAGUUUACUUCAACUUUUAUUAAGGGUUCAACUCAAGAUUCUUAAUAAAUUUUGGAGAACGCAGAAUGCCAAAGUGUUGAACUGCAAUUCCUAGACUUGAAAUUCGAAGUGCUGGAAACUAUAGCAGAUUCAAUCUUGAGACCAUUAUUUAACAUGCUUAAAGGAUGAUUUAGACUUAUGCAGUUUAACAAAGUUGGUAGAAUACAAAAUAUACUACAACUAUUAUUAAAGGUUCUUAUACUGUUUUCGCAUGGUUAGGAAAAUACAUGGCUCCCAACAUGGAUACCCAAAACUGAACACCUUGAGGACUUAGCCAAAAUUCUGGAGUUCCAAAACAGCACUGCAUUAAACCUUGUGAACUUAAUUUGACUAGGUUAGGGACCAAACUAGCUCUUGAUCAUUAGAAAAGUUUGUUCUAUAGAAUCUAAACUAUAACUUUCAUUUAAGGUCAAACCUCAGAACUAGUACAUAAGUCAAACUUUCACUUUGGUCAAUGCAACAACUUGAUAAAGCUUGAAUUAAGGUUUUAGGCCAAUUGAAGCAUUUUUUGGGCACAAGCUCAACAUGAACCCUUCAUGACUUUUGUUAUAGAGUACAUCUAGAGUCCUUUGGGCAAGGUUGCAAGGAUUGGUUGAUGACUCAUGGUUCUAUUCGCUUAAUGAGGCCAUUCCAACAAGCAUAUAUUCUUAUCAUUUCAUGUGACCUUUUGGUUCCAAACUUCAUAAAACUUUUUGAAUGAUCACUAAGGUAGUGAUGGAUGUGGGACACAUGAAACAGGUUUCAUUAAUGUUACCCAAGCGUGCAUUUUGAAAAGGGCCUAUAUGUAAGCAAGGGUGCAUUCUCCAAGUUUAACUUGAGGCUCACUUUCAUGGAUUGACCUUAACAUGAUCAUCACCAUCUUGGCAUGUUUGAGAUCAAAACCUAUGGUCUAACUAGUGGCAAACACCUGGGGUGUUACAACCCUCCCCCUUAAAAGAAUCUUGUCCCGAGAUUCAGGGUGAAAGACUUCCAAGGGUAGAGAAGCAUGUUAUUCACAUUCAACAUUGGCGAUAGCAGUCAACUACUUAUCUCUGAGCAUCACAGAGGCUAAUUUGGUCAGGACACUUUCUGAUACUUGUUCUUCAUAGUGAAUUUUUGUCUAAAGAAACUCCUUCAUUGACUUUCGUAAUUAUUGUUACUUUGGGAGGAAUUCAAGACAACAUAGUUCUUCAUUCCUAAUAUGUAGGAUGGAUGGUUCAGAGCACAAUAAAAUACUAAUUACAAUGUCUCCAUCUUUGUUCACAAAGUUCAAAAAGCAGUCCUCUACUAGUAUGGCUUGAGUAUAACUUUCCACAAAGGAUGAGAUCAUGAACUAGAUAAACAUCCUCUGAGGUUAUGAGAAACCAACUAAUGAACAAACAAUGUCUAAUCCAGCAAUAAAGUCUAUUAACUCAGAUGCCAAUCGAUGGAAAGCUACAUAAGGUUACAUGUGUGCAGUUCUUUUUCUCUAAUAACCAUGUUGUAUUAUCUAAGUCUAUUAAGUCAAUGCUCAACAUUCAAGGAAUUUCAUGGCUCCAAGUGUUAACAAUUACCUAGGUUGUAUGAGAUACAAUCUCUUGGGUAAAAUGAACAUAUAAGAUACCCAAGGCAUGUUAGCAUUGGAUAAGCAUUGCUAAAGAAGGAUGGUAGCAUGGUCUAGAGGACAACAACAGUUGCAAGUAUUCAUCAAACUAGGGAAACAAGCCACUACCAAGUAUGUCAACUACAAUUUUCCAUCACUGAAGUAGUUGCUUAGUAAGUUGGGUCGGUUUGCACUGUAGCAAAAUAGCUUGGUGAAACUACUUUCGACAUUGAGGCUUCCUUUCUAGGGUCAAACAACAGCUCUAAGAUAAUAAUUCUAAGAUUUGUUGUUUAACACCUCUCAAAUCAUUUUUGACUUAUAGAACACCUAGAUUGCGCAACUAUUUGUUGAUAUGAUAGGGUAACAGCUAGGCACCAAAGGGUGAAAGGCGUCUUUUAUAGGUCACCCUAAUGUUCAUCCAAUGGUAGCACAUUAAGCAUAUUAUUAACAUCAGCACUAAUUACAAGCACGACCUUCUAACUGGUAACUAAUCAGCGGUCUCUUAACACUCAAAAGUUCCAAAGCUUUCUUCCUAGUGGCAACAAUUAUAGUUGAUGCAUAUGUAGGUAGUCAAGAUCAAAGUCAGCCAAAAAGAGAUCACAAUAGAAUGGUCGAUUAUGACUGUGUGAUUUCCAUGCACAUAAAGAUCAAAAUUUGGAUAGCCAGGUCAUAAGAAUAAUGCAACAAUCAAUUCUUGUGUGGCUGAUAACUCAUCCAACUUUAAGUGUUGUGUGCCCUUUGGAUUCAAUAGGGAUGACACAAGUUAUUCACCAAACAACUGAUAUUGUUACAUGGGUAACAAAUAGAGUCUCUUGUCUACCACCCCUUGCAGUCUGUUAAGGAUUAUGUCGGUAACCUAUUCUUCAAAGGUUAUCUUCUUAGCAACUUCAGAAGGAAGUCCUAUUACAUAAGUUUGAUAUAGAUCCUUUGAUUGAAGAUAAGGAAAGAUAACCAAGGACAAGCUCAUGAGAAAAUAACACAGUGGUGUAGUUUUAUAAUAGAUCAUGACUAGCAACCACGAUACCAGUCUGUGCUGAGCAGCACGACCUUGUGUCUACGACCACAGGAUGCUCUUAGUUUUGUCACAGCACUGUCAAUCGUUAGUCAUGACAACAUUAUUGAUCUUACAACCAACAUGAAAUCUCACAUGACAUAGGUAGGUCUUGCAUGGACAAGAAUCCUGUGCAAGAUAAAAUUAAGCAAGCAAAGAUGACAGCAAGAUUUGGAGGUAUGUAGAAGGUUAAAGGAUGAGAACACGGCACAAGACAGAAAAAUGGAUAUACCUUGUGCCCAUUAAGGUCAUUACCCAAUAAUUAAUUUAUGGGAUGCUGGAGGUGCUCAAGACAUCAUGCUAGGAGUGCCUAACGGGCGAGGUAGAGGCUAGGGAGCUCGGACCCCACCGUUGUGGCCAAGAGCACCGAGACACUCACCGCCGAUCCUCCCCAUCAGGCAACCUACACCUCUGGCCUGUGAUGGGCUAGAGGAAAGUCUCGUGGGGCCAUAGGCUCUGCUGUCGGGCCCACCAAGGGCCCGCGAUGACCUCUUGGUCCACCACGGGCAGCGACCGGUAGCCCAGGUCUCCUGCCUAGUGGGAAAAGCACGGUCGGGACGUCGACAUCACAGCAUGGCACAACGCCACCACCACCGCCACUAUGAUCGGAGCCUGAUCCUACAUCAGAGGGGCAUAAGACCGCGUCGACUUCACUCUCGUUCGGGCUAAGGAUCGUGAUGGCAACUUAUGCCUCUUCCGCGUGCACUUCUCUAAGUUCUUACAUAGACAUUCCAGUUCACCACUUAAAGUCUACUCUUGACCUUAUCGACACUCCACCAGCAUCAAGCUAUCCUAAGGGGGACUCCUCGGAUGAUGGCACAUGGGCCAGCACAGAUUUCUCUAGGGUUAGUGACCUAGAGACGCUUCUUCGAUUCCUUGAGGUGAGUAACUAUUGCUUUGGUUACUAUGACUUCGAUGACGGUGACAAUGACCCUCUCAGGAGUGCUUCAACCUCGAGAUCGACAUGACACCCCCAGUAGGCCAAGGGGGCGCUGGGCCAGUAGAACCCUGUGAUACUACUCCUCCAUGGGACGCGCUCUUUGUGGAUCACAUAAGCCUUGAGGAGCCACCUCUACCCUAGCAGGACCUCAACAUCCUGACCUCGAGCAACUUAAGGAGUUCGAGGACAAGCUCGAGGAGGAUUGUAGGCACUUAUGCCAGUUGUGUGCAACCCUCGAGCAGGACCAACCAGUCCAAGGGGACAGAGGAGUAGCCUAUUGUCACGAACAUGACAUGAACCGCCACAUGAAUGAGGAUACCAGCAGAGAAGACCCCUCUAUUUAGCAUAGCCAGCCAGAACGUAGUGGCUGCUGCACUUCUCCUCAGGGCAAUGCCUGAGCCAUUGAUGCCCGAGGGGAGGAGAGUCCACCAGGGGCUCCAAGGGCUCCUAGAGCAUGCUGUUGUGCAGAACAAGAGAGUUCUGCCUCACAGCACCACGAUUCUCGGGCAGGUUGGCCUAAGAAUCAAUCAUCCCUAAGAAGGCGGCCUCAGUCCGUGGCCCUGAGCCUGUCAACCCCUAGGGUGGCGAUAAGGGCAAAUUUGUCCACGAGUGCAUCGGCACAAACAUGGACACGCGAACCACCCUUGAGGCUCAACACCACGACAGGGACGAGGGUGAGUCUCGAAGGUACCGACCGCGGUAAGGUAGAAGAUAUGAUUGUGAGCAUGGCCACAAUUCAUUACCUGAUCCCCUAGGUCCCCAUGUCUUUAGCGACCGAUCCGCGGGGCCAAGUUCUUGAACUAUUUCCGCCCGCUGGCCAACCUCACCAAGUACUCUGGGAGACCAACCCUGAGCUUUGGUUCACGGAUUACCGCGUCGCAUGCUAGCUAGGUGGUGCGGAUGAUGACCUGCUCAUCAUCCGCAAUCACCCAUUGUUCUUGGCUAACUUAGCUAGAGCCUGGCUAGAGCACUGUUGACACUUCUAACACCACUUAAGCUAAGUUGUCAUCCCUAUCAUGGCUUUAGAAGUGUGGUAUGAAAAUUGUCCACUAAUAAAAGAAAUGUAAGAUCCGCAAGUGUAUAGAUUAAAUACCAUUGUAGCACUUCACCGAGAAGUAUUCUAGGUAUUAUUAUUUAUAUUUAGCUCAAGGGAAUGAACUAAGGACUUAAACAAUGAGAUAAACUUGCAAAACAUGACUACUUAUGAGUGAUGGGGUGCAUAGCCACCUACUUAGUAGGGGGUAAACCAUGAUAGAUAAAUAAUAUAAGUAUAAAAGCUCAGGGAAUAAAUCACACAGGGAUUAGAUAUAGACUACUUAGCUUAGUAGUAGGUUGACGUCUAAUUAGUUCAAGAGAUAGAAAAUCCUAAGUAGUUCUAAUUUAUCAAGUCAUUCAUCUAUUCUAAUACUACAGCAUCAUACACAACACAAAAGACUCUUCAUUUAUGUAUAAGGGACAUUGCUAUAAACAGCCAAGACAGAACUGGACUUCCUACGCAACUGUGGUUCUACCUAUCCUACCAACGGGGCAUGGAAUACGAUGGACUCAACGGAACUGUCACUUCCGCAAUCUACCAUGCUACCUAGCCAAUAGGGUGUAAUUGCACAUAAACGACAUCUAAGCACCAUGCUAACAUGACAUCUAUCACUUAACUCUCCCACGAAGAAAGCUAAGCGCGCAAACAUAUACAUAAACUCAUUAUCAAUCAUAACCAUAUCAAAUGUAGAACUAGAAUAAACUAAGAACACAAUAAACAAAAACAUAAUGAUAUUAGAAUAAAGUCAAAAGAGAGAUAAAAGAUAAUACCAAUCUAUGAUGAUGAAGAUCUAGAAAUUCCAAGCAUAGGCGCCCAACUCUUCCUCUAUGUAAUCUAAUCCUAUGUAGAAGAUGAAAAUUAGGAGUAGCUAAUCUCAGAUGAGAAUAAAAAUAUAAUUCUAUUUUUCUCUCUCAAUUCUGAGCUCUCCUCCAGGGGGUAGGCUUGUAUUUAUAGCCUCCUAGGAAGCACCAAAGCCCUUGGAUCAAACUUACUUAAACAUGCGCUUGAGAUUUAUACUCAAAGUCGGUAGAGGCAAAAUCCACGAGGUUGGCUCUGAUUGGAUAGACCCCCAAGGCGGCCGCCCCACCAUGCCCUGGGCGCCCGCCCCUGCCCUAUGGCAGGUGGGCCACAAGUUUCAGGGAUCGCCUUCCUAGGAUAGUUGUGGUAGCCCCAGGUGGUGACAGCCCUAACGGCCGAUGUAUUCCACCAUGUUUGGAUUUGUGUUAUAGGACCCUAGUCGGAGCUUCCUAGUCCCCUUCUCAUCUUUCCGUGACUAGUGUUGUGAUGUCCUGAAGUGUUAUUGUGUGAUUGCUUUACCUACCAUGAAUUAGUUAUUAUAGAACCCUAGUAAUAGAGAAGUAUUUAGGAACCUUAAACUCUCCCGUUGUCCUCUCACUUUAGCUAUCUACUCUUUUAUCAUAGAAUUCUCUGGUGUGUGUCAUAUAUGCAUAAUUCCUAUCGUCUAUUAUUUAACCCUACUUUAUUCUAGUUGGUGUAUUAGUUAGUAGAUACAUGGUGGUGAACUAUCAAUUCCUAGUGGUAAAAUAUAAAUAACGAUACCUAGAAUACUCCUAAUAAAAUGCUACAAUGGUCUUCUAUGCGCUUGCGGAAUCCUUCAUAUUUUAAUUUUGCAUAAGAAAUACCAACAAGCAUUUUUGGCACCAUUGCCGAGGAGGCAAUUGGCAUAAAGAUUCUGAUAAUGAUUUUGAUAUCUGCUAAUUUUGUGUACCACUAGCUUUAGUAGGAUUACCCAUUUGUUCUAUUGAGUGUGUAAUAGAUAGGACAUCAGAUGCCGCUUUGACCUUGCAACAACAUUUCACAAGAUUGAAGAACCCAGGGUGCUCGAACAUUCAAGAUCCAUCAUUCUGGAACCCUGCCAUCUCAUAGGUUUGUGUAUACACAUAUAUAUUAUUUAUUCUAACUAUGUGUAGAUUGGAGAAAAGGUCAUCGUCAUAAGAGUACAAACCCCAUCACAUGUGACGGAUAUUUACGCUACGCCACUCAUCCUAGUUGUGCAUCAUGGUAAGUGUGAUCAAGGUGGAUAGUCUUACUCAUGGGCUUUAAACCUUAUGAGUAGUUAUAUUUUUAUUUUCUUGCAUAUCACUACAUGUUUACAUUGAAUCGUCCAUGCAUCCACUUCAUUUAGUUUUCCCAUCCACAUCAUGUUUAGUUCCUUGCAUGCAUACAAUUCAUCUGCAUCUAAAAAUAUAAUAAUAUUUCUCACUAUGAUCAUACUCUGUCAUCACUAUUGAGUAAAUCUGUAUAAUGCUCUCGUGCUACCUUUGUUUGCUAUAGUAUAUAUUUAGGUUUGGGGUAGUUUCAUACAUUUCUUAAAUAAAGCAUGGUGCCUAGUUUAUGAGUGGUGAUCUUACUCUCAAAGGCUUUUAAUUACACGUGGUUAAAAUGCCUUCUUGAAUUGAAUUAGAUAUGGUGUCUAGGUUGAUUUUUGAGCUAAUAGUAUAUUAUAGUAGAUAUUGGAAUCUUUUUGUUGGACUAACCCCUGCAGGAAAAUCUCAAAUAUAAAUUGGGACAGUCCUGAGAUGAACUCAUACUAGAGAUGAAGGGAGACACAACUCAUACGUAGCCAAGUAGAAAGAAGGGUGCCACAAAACAUGACCCGUGAUCAAAGCACUCACUCCAUGAAGUUGCAUUCUCUUGUCAACUACUAAUUAUCAAGAAUCAAGAAAAGAUUGACAAGAGAAAAGCAUGCAACGUUCUUCACUCUCACCUCUGAGGUUGAGAAGCUGAGACAUGAGGAAGAAGGUCAACUCCUCUAGAUGGUCGAACCAAGUUUUACUCAUUGCUCCACACAUUGGGAUAAAAUAAUAAGAAGAGCUAAAGGUCCAAGCAUAAAUAAGACAGAGAACAAAUAAUGGCAAGAAAGGAGUACAAUAAAGGAGACAACAUAGCCAAGCAAGCAAAGUUUCCACAAGAUGUUAUGGCUUCAACAUGCUUCAAUACUAAAGGUAACAUCUCUUGGUAAGUGAUCAUUGUUGACACCAUUUUUGGACACGUAUCUUUCGGCGCAUAUCUGGGAGUUAAUGAGGUGUGGAUCGACAGCCGAAUAAAGUGGUGACUGGUUGAUGGAAGAGUUGCCGAUGAGAGUUGAUGCCAAUGAUAAAAUACAUGAUGUGGUCAAGUCCAAGAGUGGUGAUAAAUCUGUGCCGAUGACUGAUGUUGAUGGGUGCCGAUGGCUUCGAUAGGUGAUUUGCCGAUGAACACAGAAGGAGGCACAGGGAGUGUCUAUCGGAUGGUGAUGGUAUGUCGAUCGGUUGUGGUGGAUAGAUUAAUCUUUUCCAUAGUUUUUAUAGCUUGCUUUGCAUACGGAUUCCGUUCAAUUUAGAAUUCGAAUCCUAGUCGUGUCUGGUUGUAACUCUUUUGGACAGGGUAUAAAUAUGGACCCUGCAGCAAUGUAACAUACACAAUCAAUCAAACUCAAGUUUUUACAUCUAUUCCAGCAUCUACUUUUUCGACGACUUCGUCAAUUUGCAUAUUUUCCUUUUACUACGAGUUCUUUGGAAUUCUUCGAGUCAACCUCAGCGAGUUCUCGAGUUCCGCGUGAAUACCUCUUGGCCGUGACAUCUGGGCGCGUCGCUGUUGUCGGGACCAAAGUAUUCGAGUUAUCACCUUUGUCGAUUGUAAGGUCAAAUCGGCUGACAUGCCUUAACAUUGAAUCGGGUAUUAGCCCUUUGUGUUUGCAGAUCUACUUUUGCAUCAACACAUCUUUUGGCAUGCCCAGUGGGACCGAGAUUCAACAUCAAGAUAAACAUGUCGAAUACCGAUUUCGACUUGGAGAACGUCAUCCCCGUGACAGAAGCCAAUCUUAGAGAUGAACAGAAGCAAGCUAUGGUGAAAACCAUGGAGGACUACAAGCAGCUAUGCUUGAAAUCCUUCGGUAUCAACAGGAGUGGCGAAGUAAUCCAGAAGGAAGCAUUGCCGAUGCCUCGGCAAUUUACUUUCGAAGCCAAUCCUGAUAAACUGCAAGAGAUGGUUGAUAGUGCUGUCAAUCGUGCUCUGAUCAAUCAAUCUGGUGUACUGUCCAAUACAGUUUUCAAUGCUUUGGCUAGAACAUUCAAAGAAGGACAAGUGCCACCAUCUUAUGUGGGUCCUGCCUAUCAUCAGCCAGGGUCAUCAUCGGUUACGGCUCUAUCAGCUACUAAAACCGUUGCGGGUACGGAAGUUACUUCCCCUCCAAGCACAUUAGGGAUGACUAAUGCGCAAUCUACACUGAUGACGACCAAUCCAUCAACAUCAGAGGGACAAGUCAAACUUGCUAUAGAUUUAUUGGCAUCGGCAAUGUCAGGGUCUGUUCCUCCUGAUUGGUGGGGAUAUGGUAUGCCCCCAGAGUUUAUGGCAAACAGCUCUGGGCCGUCUCAAGCUGCUAACAUGACAGGCAAGGCUCCUAUGGCAUCGGCACCCUCAGGCUCGCCGAUGACUCAGAAUCCCCAGUAUUCUACAUUACUACUGCAAGACCUUUUACUGGGAAUUCUCAAAUGCCAACGUUCCAGAUGCCUAACGCAUCGGCAGAUCUAAUGCCAACGUAGCAAAGGUUUACAACACAGCCAGGGUAUGUCAAUUCAAUGAUGAUGCCCAAUUAUCAGCCAUCGGCAGGGCCUACGCCGAUGAAUGUUAACAAUGGAUGGACGGGGCAGUUCGUCUUUCCACAUAUACCUCAGCAGAAUCAUCAGGCAAUGGGAUUUCAGCAGGGACCGAUGCAACCUGGAUUUCAAAAUCAAGGGUUGAUCAACCAGCCAAUGAAUCUUGGCCAGCAAGUUGGCGGUCAAUAGGCGGUGGCUAAUCCCAUGUUCCCUGGAGAUCGUGCACCGCAGAGACACGUAGAGGCUUAUCAGCAGAUGCCAGAUCCACAACCAGCUCAUCGGCAAGAUGCUGAUGCUUACUGGGCUGAUAAGAUAGCUGAGGUGAUGAGAGACCAAUUUGGUAUAAAACUCAAAGUCAACACUUACUCUUAUCGGACACCAUAUCCUCCUACAUAUGACUUAAUGCCGCUUCCAAAUCGGUACAAGGUGCCAGAUUUCACUAAGUUUUCUGGACAAGAUGACACGUCAACCAUGGAGCACGGUAAUAGGUUCAUCAUCCAGUGUGGGAAAGCUGCUAACAGAGAUGAGUUAAUGGUUUUUUUAUUCUCGUCAUCUUUGUCUGGAUCAGCCUUUACUUGGUUUAUUUCAUUACCUCUGAACUCAGUGAUUACUUGGGCCGAUCUAGAAAAGCAGUUCCACAAGUACUUCUUUUCUGGAGUACAUAAAAAGAAGAUUACUGAUUUAGUCAGGCUAAGGCAGCGCAAUGAUGAAUUGGUUGAAAGCUUUGUGCAGAGGUUACAAGAUGUUAAAAACAAAUGCUAUAGUCUGGUUCUAGAUGAUCGGCAGCUAGCCGAUUUGGCUUUCCAAGGAUUGUUGCCACACAUUAAAGACAAGUAUGCUUCUCAAGAGUUUGAAAGUCUGAGCCAUUUAGUGCAGAGGAUUUCGGAUCAGGAUAUCAAAGCUUUUGAACCUAAGAGGGCAUGGAACAAAAAGGUGUCAUUUGUCGAUGAGGCGACAAGUUCAGACUCUGAUGAAGAGCCAGUCAUCGGUUUGGCAGAGUGGGUAAAGAAUAAGAAGCCGAUGUCUUGCCCUUUUGGGCAUAAGGAACCAUAGAAGUUUGCAUUUGGUAUCACCAAAGCCGAUAGGAUAUUUGACUUUUUGCUUCACGAAGGGCAAAUUAAGUUGUCACCCAAUCAUGUGAUUCCAUCGGCAGAAGAAUUAAAGAAGAUUAAGUAUUGCAAGUGGCAUAAUGCAACAUCUCAUAGUACAAAUGAGUGCAAGGUUUUCAGGCAACAGCUGCAAUCGGCUAUAGAGCCUAGGAGAAUUAAAUUCGAUAGCUCCAAAGCUCAAAAGCCGAUGAAGAUCGACCAACAUCCUUUCCCUACAAACAUGUUGGAUGCUAAGGGAAAGACCAAAGUAUGGACUUCAGAGGCAGCUGAAAGAAGCGCAUCGGUAGAUCCUCAGUACCAGAUUACUGCCGAUGAUGCUAAAGGCAAGGGCUUGAUACAGGAAGGAACCAGCUCAGGGAGGCCUCCCCGAUCAGGCAUUGUGGCCACUCAUAGAAGGCAUCGAGAAACCUGGCAGCAGCGUGAAGAUCGGUAUCGGCGCCAAUAGGAGGAUCGUCGUCGGGAAGAAGAAAGACGCCGACAUGAGUGGAAUCGGCAUAAAGAUCACAGGAACUGUUCGUUCUUCAUCCACUGUUGGGAGCAAAACAUCAAGCUACCAACUGUUAGAGACAGCCCUGAGUGCAAUGGCUAUAAUCGGUAUGAUAGACCAAAUCGGCAGUACCAGAACGAUGAUUGGCGUUUUGAUGGGCCGAUUAGAGGAGGGGCCUCAGGUCAUGAUCGGCUGGGGGGCAGACUCAGUGUGCAUGACAGACUUGGUGAGCGUGUCGGGUAUUUUCCCAGAAACCAAGAGGAGCUUGAGGAGAUGGCGGAUGCGCGAGUUCCCGAUGAGUUCAUAUUUUGCAGAGAUGCUAAUACUUAUCGGGUGGAAUCAAGGGAAAAUCAUCGUCAGUCGGUUAGACAAGCACAACUUCCUCCAUGGUGUCUAGAGGGAUUAACUAGGACACAAAAAAGAAGGCUGCAGCGGGAACGACGAGAAGAGCUGAGUAGAGAAGAGAAUUCUGUUAAGACUGGAGAUCGGCAGCAGUCAGAUUUAAAGGAAAAGGUCCAUCAGCAAACGUUAAUAUGGUGUUUAUAUUGCCGAUGGAAUUCCUUGCGCCUUUCAGUGAUGAUGAGGAGGCGGAUUUUCUCGAUCAGAUAGCUCAGUUGGCUCUGGAUCCGAUGAUGGCUAUCUUUGAAAAGCCUGCUGAUAAUGAGAGACAACAUCUUAAAGCUUUGUUUGUCAAAGGCAGAGUUGAUGAACAACCGAUGACCAAGAUACUUGUUGAUGGUGGGGCUGCUAUCAAUAUUAUGCCGUAUGCAGUCUAUCAGAAGCUUGGGAAAGGAGAUCAGGACUUGACCAAACCAGAUAUGAUGCUAAAAGAUUUUGAAGGAAAUGUGUCUCUAGUCAAGGGAGCCAUAUGUGUUGAGUUGACCAUCGGCAGCAAAACCUUGCCAACUACUUUCUUCGUCAUCAGUGGAAGGGGUGCUUAUAAUCUACUAUUGGGGAGAGAUUGGAUUCAUGCCAAUUGUUGCAUCCUAUCUACGAUGCACCAAUUUUUGGUUUAGUGGGUAGGUGACAAGAUUGAAAUUGUCCCAGGAGAUUCUUCAUAUGUCAUUGCAUCGGCAGAAGCAGACACUUAUGAAAGGACUAGAUGCAUUUCGGGAGAAAUUUGGGAGAAGGAUUUUCUUAAAGUCACUGAUUAUGAAACUCCACCUAUCCAAGUAGUCGGUUCUGAUGAAGAGUUUUAAUGGAUAGGUUCGCCGAUGAUGGAAAAUUAGGCCAGGGGUUUACAUCGGCUAAUGAUUUAGUAGAACUAGAUAUAGGUAAUGGUGAUAGGCCAAGGCCUACAUUUAUUAGUGCUAAGUUAGAUUUUGAGUGUAAGCAGCACUUAACCGAUUUGUUAAAGGAAUAUAAAGAUUGCUUUGCUAGGGAUUAUAUCGAGAUGCCUGGUUUAGACCGAUCUAUUGUUGAACAUCGGUUACCUAUAAAAUCUGGAUAUCAGCCGCAUCAGCAGCCAGCUCGCCGAUGUAAUCUUAAUAUUCUUCCUGAUAUUAAGGCCGAAAUAACUAAACUUAGCGAAGCUAAAUUUAUUCGGCAAUGUCGGUAUGCUGAGUGGAUUCCCAAUGUUGUUCCAGUUUACAAGAAGGAUGGGAAGCUUCGUGUCUGCAUUGAUUUCAGGAAUCUUAACAAGGCUACACCGAUGGAUGGUUAUCCAAUGCCAGUUGCCGAUUUGCUAGUUGAUGGUGCGGCUGUGUUGACGGUCCUUAAUGCUCACAUUUAACCAUCAACUAAUCAUGGAAAAGGAUCUAAAUGCAACCAACACCUAGACUUAGGGUUUUAUCUGACAGAAUUCCACGAGUUUUGGUGUUUGUGUAUUUCUGCAGGGGGUUAUCAGGAAAUACGGAAGAAAGGCCCACACGUCGGGUUUACAUAGAGAUAUUAACGUGCUGCACAAUUAUCUACCAUCUAGAAGAGUCCAGAAGCCACGGGAGCGAACGGGAGACGUAACAGAGUCGGGCACUGGGCGCCCGCCCUCCCUUACUGGGCGCCCGCCCUGCCCCCUAGACCAAUCAGGGUGAAGUUCGGGGAUCAUGCUCCACCGACCUAAUACUUCAAGGAAAACCACACGAUCAAUGUCGUUUGAUCCGAUGGCCCAGAUUCAUCUGAAAAGACUAUAUAAGCAAGCCCUCCUGGCCCCUGGAGAUCAUACCUCUUCUACAGAAUCAAAGUUAGGGUUUCAAUUCUUCAUCCAAGUAGAGAGGAUCCCUCUAGUUCUUCUAUUUCUACCUCUAGUUCAUCUAGAUCUAGUUCUAGUUCAUCUAGUUCUAGUUCUAGUUCCUCUAGUUCUAGUUCUAGUUAGUUCUAGUUGUAAAUUAGAAAAUAGGGAGAGAGAAGAGGACAGCAGAGGAGGAUCCGGAUCUGUCGGAUCUUCCUCAACAUUGUACCUUUGCAGCAACUGGUUCGUUCUUCAUCGUUCUCUAGGUUCUUCAAUUCACAAUUCCUGAGUUCUUUAAUUACUUUUAUUUACAUUCAAGUUAUUUAUUGGAUUCCCGCUUGCAUCAAGUGCUCUAAUCUUUGAAACAUUAGAGUAGUAAUUAAUAGAUUAGACGUGGUGUUUAGUCUUGCAAUUACCUGGAAUUGCACCCAAUCCUGCAGAUUGUUGUGGUAGCCCUAGGGUAGUGACAGCCCUAACGGUCGACGUAUUCCACCACGUUCGGAUCGGUGUUUGUAGGACCGUAGUCAGAGCUUCCUAGCCCCCUUCUCAUCUCUUUCUGUGGUUAGUGUUCUGAUGUCCCAAAAUAGAUAAUCUUGAAGUAAUUAUUGAUUCUUAGAUCAACUAGAGAACUCUCAGGAAACUUCCUCUCUUCCCACGAAAAAUAAUUAUAUAGUUAUCCUUGGGCGAUCUUGGAUCUUAAUUAGUACACUCACGUUCUCUGUGGAAAAUCGAUACUCUAGAAUACUCCCGGGUGAAAGCUACAUCGGUAUUCGUGCGCUUGCGGAUUUUUCUGUUUGCGUUUAAAAUACCCAACAAGCUUUCUGGCGCCGUUGCUGGGGAACGGUAGCUGUGCUAGUUUCGAACCAAGUCGUCCGUGUAUCCUUUUUCUUUUCUUUUUUUACCAUACUCACCUUAUCAUUUUCACCAUACCACAUGGAUUUCACUCUAAGCAUUAAUGAGCAUGGAAUUUAUUUCAUAGCUACUUCAUUUACUCCAUGCUCAUAUGCAACAUCUUCCCAAUCCAUUGGUUUUUCCAACAUCACCACGUUCGAGAUCUCCAACCCCCUCAUCCUUUCUAUUUAUAAAAACUUUAAAAGGGCGGUUGUCGAUACAUAUCUCUAUAAUAAAUAUUGCAGAUCUCGUUGAGUUGAUCUUGAUAUAUGUCAGCAUUGGAGGGGAAACCACUUCGCCGACAUAAAUUGAUGGUUUCCCAAGGACAAGCUUAGUGUCCUAAAACAAGCAUUGAUCAGAUCGUAACAUGAGCUUUUAAUUAUUUGCAACAUUAACUUGUGUAUUAAGCAUAUAAGGAUAAUUGUAAAAAUAUUCCUUCGGGUAUUCUUGUCACUAACCUUUACAGGAUUGGAGCAAGAAGAUUGGAUGAAUGACAAGCACAAGGUAUGUCCAACCAAUCAUCAUACAACAUUGAAUUAAAUUCAUCCAAACUUGAAUUUUGCAAAAUUCAAGCUUGGGGGAGUACUUUACAUAAAAACAUCAUUUGCCAUGUUGCUAUGUUGGUUGUCCCUACCUUUGAGACAUGCUCAAUCUGUUAAAUACUAAUCACACUACUUCAUCUCCACUUGAGUAGAUCUCUAUAAAUGCUCUCAUGCUACCUUUAUUUGCUUUAGUAUAUGUCUAGGUUUGGAGUAGUUUCAUUUAUCUCUUAAUUAUGCAUGACGCUUAGUUUAGGGCUGAUGAUCUUACUUCCACGGGAGUUUAAAUUAAGCAUGAUGCUUAAGUUAAAAUGCCCUCCUAAAUCAAAUUAGACAUGGUGUCUAGGUUGAUCUUUAAGCCGAUAGUAUGCUAUAGUGGAUAUUGGAUAUUUUGUUGGACUAACCCCUGCAGGAAAACUUUCAAUAUCGACUUGGGAAGUCCUGAGAUAAACUCACAUUGGAGACAAAGAGAGAGGCACAUGAAGUUUAACAAUUUGCAUGAGGAAGGCAAAGCUCACAAGAGAUGAUCCAUGGAGGGUGCCACAAACACGAUGCACAACCCCUAAGAAAGGAAAGCUUCCACAAGGUGAUAUUGUACCAUCACUCUUCAAUUAAGGUAACAUCUUAAGGUAUGUGACUAUCACUUUUAUAAGUUUCUCCUUGGUUCUGACGUUCACAUGAAUAAAAGAGACAAACAUGUAUGAUUUACAACUCUAGAUUAACCAACCUAAUCGAUUCAACAUGUUUAGUCCUUCCACCUUUGUGAUUCCAUACUCCUAAUCAUAUGAGCUAAAAUGUUGCACACUCAAUCUUUGGAAGAUAUAUAUAUAUAUAUAAACAUAAGUAUAGAUAGAUUAUCUUUCCAUUAGGUUGAGUGAUCUGAUCUGACGAAUGUUUUAAAUGCUACACUCAUGAUCUUAUUAUCCAUCAACUGUGUCUUGCUCACUAUGCUUAAGGAUAGAGAAGAGCAAAUACACUUUGGGUUCUGUUGGUGUUUUCCACCAACAGGGCCCAUGCACUUGAUCUCUGCCUUGUCUCUAUGAGCAGGUACACUUCGAGUAGCAUAUGAAGGACUUUUACAACUCCCAGACUCCACCAAGUGAAGAACCUAGAUCUACGAGCACAAACACACAGGAGAUACUGGACACCCAGGCAAUCACUGCCCUGAGAUGCUUGAGUACGUAACUACUGGAGUAACCCCAUUGUGGAAGUAAUUACUAACCUUCUGCCAGUCAAGAGAGACAAUCCAGGACGCCCCGUCAUCCCGAUCUCCAUCAGCAUGGUGGACUUCCUAGAAGCACUCUGUGACUUUGGCUCCAGCGUCAACAUUAUGCCCAGGCUUGCAGAUCGUACGCUAAGUUUCCCAAAGGGAAUAGUGAAGAACCUCUGCAUCCGAGUUGGUACCUUGUACGCCCCAGCAGACUUCGUGGUGAUAGAAACUGGUACUGAUGAGAGGGCACCCAUCAUCCUAGGGAGGCCAUUCCUGAACACCUCGGGAGCUGUCAUCUACGCUAGUGCUGCCAAGAUCAGUUUCUACAUCAAGGGAAGAAAGGAGACGUUUUCAUUCAAGAAACAAGACUACACAAAUCCUAGAGUAAUCCCGACAUGAACCAAGGAAGAGGACCAACAGGAGGAACAAGAACAAGCAAAUGUGUACCGAGUCAGCUAAGAUGGUCACUGCAGCUCAAGGAGGUCAAGAUCGUCAACUCAAGUCACCUUUCUUGAUCAAAAAGGACGACCCAAGUAUGCCAAGCAUCCAGUGCUCCAUUAAUGGAUACAACUUCCAGAAGAUGCUUUGCGACACCGGGUCAGGCGUCAACAUAAUGGCUGCCAGUCACCUAUCAGCUCCUAUUCGGAACCAUGCCCCUAAAACCGACAUACAUUCAGCUUCAGAUGGCAGAUCAGACAUUCGGAAAGAUUGAAGGUUAUUGACAUGGGAGAAGACGAGUACGAUCCAUCCAUCAUCCUUGGAAGACCGUUCUUUAGCACCAUUAAAGCAAUCAUAUACAUUGGAACCAGAGAAGUCCACAUGCACUUCCCCUCAGAGAAGGUACGCCACUGUUUUACUGACCCUAACUAUAUAGUUGAAGACUCUAAGCAGGUCAGGACAAGAAGACGACGACGCAACCGUAACCAGAGAAGGCAAAAUCAUCAAGGACGGAUGGGUAGACUAUGAAGGAGAAGUUGUAAGGUCUGAAGACAUACAACUUGAACAGAACUAUCCUGAGGAGACCGUAGCACCGAGUCACGUGUGUAGAGAGAAGAUAGUUAUACAUGAAGAGCAGGCGCCGCCGGAACCACCGACUACGCCAUCUAGCGAAUCCCAGGACGACUGAGAAAACGGAGGGUCCCGUUCGAAGGACUUAAAAACAUUGAACGCCUUCCCAAGAGGUAAACUUGGUAGUUAUACUUUCCCUUUCAAUUAUUUUAAAAUGGUUUGCUUAGUUAAUCAGGUUCAUCUCAUCUUGAAAAGAAAAUAAAAAUGUUAAAAAAGUAAGCCCCAUGUGAGUAUGCUCAUGGCAUAAAACCCAUAAGUACAUUCACUGUGGUGGCAUAAAAAUGAAAUAAAUAUAUUCCUGUCCUAUAAAAAUAAAAUUAUAAAAAAUAAAUUUAUGAUCCUACUAAAGAGAGUAACAUUUAUUGAGGAGGCUCAACAUGAUAAAGGCUAGAUAUUUAUGCUAACACUUAACUAGUUCCACAAAGCUUUGUUUUCUAUUUGAGCUCCACAGAAUUCAAGGAUCAAAGAAGACUAGCAGACGGAGGACAUCCUAAUCGCUGUCAGGGUGCUGCUGACAUUCAAAUACACCUCCACCACCUGCUAGCUACAUCAGAAGAAAUUGCGUCAAAAUCCAGCUUGGGGGAGAGCACCCCCAUUUAUCCAGCUAAGUGUUCUACUCAUGGUUAUACUUUACUCAAAUAAUAAAAAUACACAUAAUCAUAAAAACCUAAAUAAAGAUUUUGUGCUUAUAUAUAUAUUUGCUUAGUUUGCUAAAUAAAUAAAUAAAUAAAGUUUGCUAUGAACCCUCAUGAUAAGCUCUCACAUGGAAAUGAUGAAUAGUUGAUCUGCCAUGUACCUAGUUUUCAAGUUUAAGCUUUCUCUCAAGUUUAGGCAUAACUAUUAUUAAUUAAGAUUUGCUCUAAACCUGAACUUGUGGGGAGAGUACUUGAUCUAAAGUUUAAGUCGUUAACUGAUACGAUAUGAGAAGGUUGAGCUGCUGUUUAUUUGUUCCUAGAGAUGCUAGAAUUCUGGAGAAUUUUAUCUUUGAAAAUCUUUAAAAUGUUGCAUGAUGAGUUCCUGUAUGAUGAGAGUUUAAAUUCCUACCACAACCAUAUAUACAUGCUUGUUAGACUAUGAACCAUACAUUUACUUUUUACUGCUUAUGAGCAUUGAGUGUGGUCAAGCUGUGUAGGCCCUUAGGAGCUUGUCAUGUCGUUAAAUCAAGAUUCACUUGCACGUUCACUCAUACAUGCUACUUCUACUUCGGAAGUACGCAUCCACAUAUAUCCAUCCAUUUCCAUCUCCAGAACCACCCAAAAAUAUUCUACUCCUAAUCCGGGAGAGAAUAGCCAAAAAGAUUAUCCUAUCUCUGUUCUUCCCUGUGAAAUAAAUGCUCGAGUUAUCUUGGUUACUACCACUUGCUAUAUUAUUUCAGGAGAUGAGUGCUCUAAAAAAAGGAAAAAAAAGAGAAAAAAAAGAAGAGAUACGAGGAAAUAAAAAGGGGCAAGUGCCCGGAACCUCAGAAAAAAAAGUGAGACGAGAGGUAAAAAUGGACAAGUGUCCGACAGUAGAAUUAGGGGUACAAGAUACCCACCCGAGAGAAAAGAAAAGAAAAAAAAAAUAUAGAGCAUCUCAUUCUCCUCAAAAAGUUUCAAAAGAGCAAGAAAGGUAUGUAUCCCAUCAAAAGAGCACAAGUGGAAUUAGACUUUCACCAUUGUUAUCACCAUCAUCACCAUACACCAUUCAUUUGCCACACAUGCACAUCUUGAUUUGACUUAUUGACUUGUUCUUGUGGAUCCAUGGUUUGACUAUGCAAUAAAUGUCUUGUAAGUAUGUAUUAGCUGUCUCCCACCAAUGAGCUCCAGAUAUCAAAAGCCUUAUUAGAGUAGGGUGAGAGAGAAGGCAAUGCCACUAUGCCUCAUACCAAAAAUACUACAUACUUUGAGAGAAGGCAUAUACCAUUACUGCCUUGGUAAGGAUCCAGAAAUACCACAAAAGAGAGACUAGAGAGAGUCAUACAAGGAAUCUCUGAGUUUUAUUUGAAAAUCUGCAAAAACUCCAGAGCUAUAGUUAAUCGAAGAACAAGAGACAUGGUGCUUGACUAGACUGUUCUAUCUUUUAACUACUCAAGACAGAAGUGACGGUUACAAGUUCCAUGGUGAAAGGUAAAUGAGUAAGUUUUAAGUCUUUGCAGUUUACUCUAACCAGAGAUGAGAUCUUGUUUAAACGCAUGUGUAUCUUUAAGUUAAGAAACCACUGCAGAAACACCUAUGUUCAUCUUUGCUCAGGGAUGAGCAAAGGUUAAGCUUGGGGGAGCUUGUUGACGGUCCUUAAUGCUCACAUUUAACCAUCAACUAAUCAUGGAAAAGGAUCUAAAUGCAACCAACACCUAGACUUAGGGUUUUAUCUGAUAGAAUUCCACGAGUUUUGGUGUUUGUCUAUUUCUGCAGGGGGUUAUCAGGAAAUACGGAAGAAAGGCCCACACGUCGGGUUUACAUAGAGAUAUUAACGUGCCGCACAAUUAUCUACCAUCUAGAAGAGUCCAGAAGCCACGGGAGUGAACGGGAGACGUAACAGAGCCGGGCACUGGGCGCCCGCCCUCCCUUACUGGGCGCCCGCCCUCCUCCCUGGACCAAUCAGGGUGAAGUUCGGGGAUCAUGCUCCACCGACCUAAUACUUCAAGGAAAACCACACGAUCAAUGUCGGUUUGAUCCGACGGCCCAGAUUCAUCUGAAAAGACUAUAUAAGCAAGGCCCCCUGGCCCCUGGAGAUCAUACCUCUUCUACAGAAUCAAAGUUAGGGUUUCAAUUCUUCAUCCAAGUAGAGAGGAUCCCUCUAGUUCUUCUAGUUCUACCUCUAGUUCAUCUAGAUCUAGUUCUAGUUCAUCUAGUUCUAGUUCUAGUUCCUCUAGUUCUAGUUCUAGUUAGUUCUAGUUGUAAUUUAGAAAAUAGGGAGAGAGAAGAGGAGAGCGGAGGAGGAGCCGGAUCUGUCGGAUCUUCCUCAACAUUGUACCUUUGCAGCAACUGGUUCGUUCUUCAUCGUUCUCCAGGUCUUCAAUUCACAAUUCCUGAGUUCUUUAAUUACUUUUAUUUACAUUCAAGUUAUUUAUUGGAUUUCCGCUUGCAUCAAGUGCUCUAAUAUUUGAAACAUUAGAGUAGUAAUUAAUAGAUUAGACGUGGUGUUUAGUCUUGCAAUUACCUGGAAUUGCACCCAAUCCUACGGAUUGUUGUGGUAGCCCUAGGGUAGUGACAGCCCUAACGGUCGACGUAUUCCACCACGUUCGGAUAUGUGUUUGUAGGACCGUAGUCGGAGCUUCCUAGCCCCCUUCUCAUCUCUUUCUGUGGUUAGUGUUCUGAUGUCCCAAAAUAGAUAAUCUUGAAGUAAUUCUUGAUUCUUAGAUCAACUAGAGAACUCUCAGGA